rnacentral:lncRNA from 1 species
GAUUUUUGAGGUGCAUCUUAAAUCUACAUUUUAAGGUUGCAACCAUAUACAAACUUUUUUCUUUAAAAAUACAAAGUAUUAACAUAUUUCCUGCCAUCAUCUUGGUCCGACUGGCUAAAGAAAAGAAAAUAGAUUUUAGAUCUUUUCUUAGAUCUGAUGUCUCAAAGUAUUUUAUUUUUAGUUUUUUUAUACAAAUGGUAUGAAUAUGAAAUUUGGUACAUAUAGUGAAAAUUGUAUAUUAAUUUUAAUAUUUUUUGUAUAUACGAUUAAGCAUAAAUUUUAAGCAUUUAUAUUCUCACCAUAAUGUUAAAUUAAAUAAAAUAAUCAAAAUACCAUGACAAAUAAUAUUAAAAUUUUGGGGUUACCUUAACCCAUUGUUUUAUCUAUUGUAAAAUAUUUUUAGUAUUUUUUUAUAAACGUGAGAUGGUGAGAAGAAUCAACUCCAAAAAUUUGAGUUUAAUAUUGAAAAUAAAAUAAAUUAAAAUUCAGUGCACAUUUUAAACAAGGGGAAAGGUUUCUAUAUUUUUCCAAUGGCAUAGAAGAUCUAUGCUUUCGCUACCAUCCAGCCAUCCAAUUUUGAUCAAGAGAGCCACUCACUGUUUGAUCUUAGAUUUGAUGUCUCAAAGUAUUUUAUUUUUAGUUUUUUUAUACAAAUUGUAUGAAUAUGAAAUAUUUUAUCGAAAAAUUAUUUUUAAUAUUUUUUAUAGGCGCAUCCCAAUGAGAAGAUGGUACGUACCAAAUUUCAUAUUUAUACAAUUUGUAUAAAAGAUUUUAAAAAUAAAAUAUUUGAGAUGUCGGAUCUAAGAUCAAAUGGUAAGUGGCUUUCUUGAUCAAAAUUGAACUGCUGGGUGGUAGAAGAAGCAUAGAUCUUCCAUGAUAUAGGGGAAGUAUAGAAACUUUUCCCUUUUUUUAAAAUGUGCAUUCUAUUUUAAUUUUAUGUUAAUUUUAUUUUAAUUUUAUUUUAUUUUCUAUAUUAAACUCAAAUGUUAGGAGUUGAUUCUUCUCACCAUCUCACGUUUAUAAAAAAAUACUAAAAAUAUUUUACAAUAGAUAAAACAAUGGGUUAAGGUAACCCCAAAUUAUUUGUCAUGGUAUUUUGAUUAUUUUAUUUAAUUUAACAUUAUGGUGAGAAUAUGAAUGCUUAAAAUUUAUACUUAAUCGGUUAUACAAAAAAUAUUAAAAUUAAUAUACAAUUUUCACUAUAGAAAUAUAGUGAAACUAUUUUUUAUUUUUGAAAAUAAAAAUGAAUUCUUUUAUUAAUUUCCUAUGUUUUAUACCUCUACGAUAAGCCCGAAAUUUCGGUCACAUAUUCGUCAGCCCGGCUCCGUCCCCGCUCGUACCGGCAUGCACAUGCAAACGAAAAAAAAAAAGAAAAGAAAAAAAGGGACUUUUAGAGCCAGUGUAUCUUGUCCCUUGCAUAUUAAAUAAAAAACAAAUCUAACCGACCAUCUUCGACACGUUGUUGGUUAAGCUUUUACAUUGUGGGUUAAUAGUCGCAGCACGCAAGCAAAUUGUGACUCACUAAACAUAUUUAUAUAGUUUUUAUUUUGAAAAUUUUUAUCAUUUUAGCUGAACAAUUUAAUACCUUACCUAACCUUUGCUUCAAUUUUAAGAUACCCAUGAAAAAUAUUGAAUACUUAAUCUUUUAUAUGGAUUUUGAUACCUUUUCCCUUUUUUUUUUUUUUCUCUUUGAUUAGAUGGAUUUGAUGCUUUCACACGUAGUUAUCAACAUCGGAACGGAUUGACUGUCUGUUUGAUUAGACUAAUAACUAGUAUUUUGGCCAGUCUAGCCUAGAAUAAAAUUAGAUUUAGUAAAAGAAGGUCAAACACUAAUGUUUGAACCAUUUUAAGCAGUUCGGUUGGUUUAGACAAUCUCGAUCGGCCAAACAAAAUAGGUAUUUUUUUUUUUUAAUAUAUUAUGUAUUUAUAAAUUAUUAUAUUUAUUUUUAGUGUUUAACCAACAGUAAGACUAAUUUUAAUUGAACCAAAACUCUCACAAAUUCAUUAGCCAAUAUGAUCUAGAAAACACAGCCUUCGCAUGUGUUUUAACCAUGCACCAUUGAUCUUAUGACUACAAAAAAAAGAAGGAAAAGCAAGGAAUUAACCUACCUAAUACGUACAUUCCCAUUGACGAUGUUUCUUUGUUUGAUUCACAAUAAUAAUAAUAAUAAAUAAAUAAAUAACAUUAUCAUUAAAAAAGGGAAAAAAUUAUUUAAGGGGUCAAAUACCUAAAAACUAAUUUACAAAUGGAAAAAGCUUAUACAAGGUGUCACCUUUAUAUUGUACAAGUAAAGUGCACUUAAAAAAAUACUAAAGAAGGUUGUUUUGAUGCUGAAAAACUCUCAAAUCAGUCAUCUCGACUUUGAGAUUCAUAGACAUGAAAAAUAUGGGAUUUCUAAUCCUAAAAAUAGUUUAUCUUUUAACACUAUUUAAACCGUUCAUUUUCAAGAUUUUCAAGUGUUUAUAGAUUUGCUUGAUUAUCACCAUUCUGGAACUUUAAAGUUCAUAAUCGGGAAAAACAAUAGAUUUUCAUGUCAUUGCCAAGCGUUGUGGAACCAAAACUCCACUUUCAACAUAGUUUUGAGGUAAACGUUACUUCAAUAGUAUAAGGUUGAUACCUUAUACAAACCUCACCCACAAAAUUUUAUUCUUAAUAUAAUUAUAAAAGGAUAAAAUUAAGUAAAAUAAAAAUUAAAAAAUAAAUCCUUCUAAUAUUAAUUAGGAUAUUUUGACCAUCCUAUAAUUUUAUGAAGAGACUUGACCCCUUGAAUGACAAUUUUCCUAAAAAACUAUGAUAAACUUUGUUGCGAAACUUAUCAUAUUCCCUUCUAAGAUAUCGUUAGUUUUGGAAACUUUAAUGAGAUAAUGGUAUUCCACCAAUUAAUUUGGAUGAAAAUUUACUAGUGGCCAUCGAUAUUUUAUCUAAUGUGAUACAAUUUUUACGAGAAAUUUUUUAAAAUAUACCCUGAACCAUUUGAUAAAAUUGUAUCUUUUUUAUUUAAUUUCAAAAAUUGAUAAAGAACACAUUAGGGGUGGCUACGGGUUGGGUCGAGUCCGGAUCUGGCGACCCGAACCUGAAAGAAUGAUAUGGGACCCGAACCCAAAUCUAGACUUGAAUAGUAUUCAGAUCCAAAAUUUUAACCCAAACAUGACCUGUUGGGUCCAAUUUUUUGGACCCAUAUCCUGUCUAUCCCUCAAGCCCCUUAUCGGGUCUGGUCGCAGGUCCAUUGCCACCCUAGAACACUUGAUAGUGAGUUGGAAUAGUUGAAAACGGGUAAUAUGUAACGUCUCUAUUUAAGGUUGACUGGAAAUUUGUCGGUUUUAUCAUUCCAUCUUUCAAUAAACUAUUUUGAAUCUUCAAUAAUAUCAUCUCCUUUAUGACCAUUGAAUUCUAUAUUGAUGACUUCCUAUUACUCAUUAGUUUCGUUCUUGCCAUAUGACCUAAAUUCGAAUAGUGAAAUACUCUCCAAAUACUAAGGCCUUGUUAUAGAACUAUUUUUUUAACCAAUUUUGGUGGUUUCAAAUUUCCAUAUAAGUACUUGAGAAACCCUGCAACAAAGGCACGUGCUAUGAAAUAUUAUCGUUAUCUCAGAUGCUAUUUGUUGUUCAUCGACAAUGACAUUUUUCGGAAGAGAGGCUGGGUAUGAAAUAUUAUCGUUAUCUUAGAUGUUAUUUGUUGUUCAUCGACAAUGAAAUUUUUCAGAACAGUGGCUCGGUUGUGGUGGUAGCACCCCUACAUCUUAGUUAUCACGAUGCAGUUUCUAUUCCUUCUAAUAUCUUGAGAAAAAAGCCCUCUAAUAUCUUAAAAAAAAAAGCCAAUAGUUGUUUGUUUUUCAUCCCUACUCAACCCAGUAUUUGACUAUUUGGUCCAAGUCCCAAGUACUUGAUCUCACCUCCAUAUGGUCCGAGUCCCAAGUACUUGAUCUCACCUCCAUGAUUAGCCCGAGUUUCUUCGAGUUAGGUGUCUAGGUAUAUUAAACUUUUCUAAAAAAUAUAAUAAAAUCUAAAAAAAUAAGAAAUUUAUUUGUGAUAUGGAAGAAGCUCACUAGCUCACAUAAUAGUAUAUGGGCCUAAUGGCUCAUAUCGAAUUUGGGCCGAUCUGACAGUCGAGAGUAUUUGAAUUUUAAUUUUUUUUUCUACAAAUCCAAAUCACUUGAAAUUUAUUAUAAAUAUUCUACUCAUCAAGCCGUACCUAAUAAAAAUAUAAAAAAAUAAUACUAGUAAAUUAAAAAUGGCCAAAAUACCCAAAAAUUUAUGGGGUAUUUUAUCAUUUUUCAUGUAAAAUAUUUUUUUAAUAUUUUUCAAAUAUUCACCUAUUUUUUAUCAAUACAUAUCUAAAAUUUCAAGUGAUUUGGAUUUGUAGAAAAAAAAUUAAAAUUCAAACACUAUCGGGCAUCCGUGAUCGUUAGAUCGGCCCAGAUUCAAUCUGGACUAUCGAGCUCAUUUUUUGUUGUGAGCCCAUUAGCUCACAAAAGCCUUUUCUUAUAUAUAUUUCUAUCAUUUUGAUAAAGAUUGUAAAGUGUUUUGGCUAUAAAUACUUAUGUUUACAUUUUCCAUCUCAUUUGAAUAUUUCAAAAAUAUCCCCAGUCACAGUUGUUUUUUUUUUAGCUAUUUUUUUACUACUUUUUUUAACCUCAUUUUGAUGUGUUUUGCUUAAUAUUCAUGUGGCCAAGAGGAAAUUCCUUUAAAAUAUUUAUUGUUUGUUGUAGUAAGUAGUUUGAAAAUGAAACUCUGAUAAUGAUAAGCUUUCAAUCUUUAGAUUUUACUAUAAUUUUCUCAUGCACUUUCUUAAUGGUUUAGAUUAAAAAGGAAGAAAAUAGAUGACCACGAUUGUAUUUUAAUGUUUAAUUGUUGUAUAAAUUGGAUUUGUUUACCUUCUAGCCAUCGAUACUUCUCAAUAAGCCACACCUACAAAAUAUAAAUAAAAAUUACAAAAAAAAAUUAACCAAAAUAUCUAAGAAACAUUCAAAGAUAUUUUGAUUAACUUAUUUUUUAAUUAUCUUUUCAUAUUUUUUAAAUAUUCCUAAGCAUGAUAUAUACCUUUUAAAUUUCAUUUCAAUCUAAUUUAUAAAUAAAAUAAAAUAAAAUAAAUAAAUCAAUCUUGAUUAUCCAUUAUAUUCUCUUCUUCUAAUAUGAGGGGUGUCCACGCAUGCAUAAUGGUUUAGCAAAUAUUUGACAUUUUGAAGUUACCUUCAUCAAUUAGGCAUGUCAAAAAUUCCAAAGCUUAGAUGGCUUUUCCACCCAUUACAACCCAUGCCACUUUACUUGAGAGAGAGUGAGAGAGUCGGACCCAUUAAAUCAUGUCACUUUUGUUGAGAGACAGUCCGUAGACCCUAAACCUUUGUUUUGUUGGGACAGGGGCUGUGUCGUGGUGGUAGCACCCAUCUAUUUAGUUAUCAUGUUGUGGUUUUCAAUUCCACCGACAUUAUAAACUGAUGUUUUCGAAAAAAUUAACAUUUAAUUUAUUUUUAAAAAACAAGUACGGACAUGUCUUUUUCAGGAAACUACCUAAAAAUAUAAAAAAAUCUUUAUACCCAUUAAAAAAUCCUAUGCCACUUUGUUGAGAGAGAGCCUUUAGACCCAUUAAAUUUUAUGCCACUUUUGUUGUGUAAGAGAGAGAGGAGUCUUUAAACCCAUUAAAUCCUAUGCAGAGAGAGUCUUUAGACCCAUUAAAUCCUCUGCGACUUUGUUGAGAGAUUUUGGUUUUUUUGUCUAAUUCAAUGUGGAUGACAUUUUUUUGGCUAAUUCAAUGUGGAUGACAGGCCCUACCUGUUUUUUAAUUAAUUAAUUUUUUAUAUUGUCAGUGGAAAUGGAAGCCGUGCACUGAAAUAUGAGUGUGAAAAUAGAAGAUGCAAAAUGCAACUGAGAUAUAAGGUCUAUUAUACGACCACGACCUCAUAACCUUUCCCAAGGGAAAAUCUUUGAGAGGGAAAAAGAGAUUUUAUUUGAUUUUACCAUGCCCUAAUUUAAAAAAGGAAAAAGUUUAUAUAAGGAUGCAACCUUAUAAUGUUGAAUUACGGAUGCACUUAAAAAAUCCAUCAAAAAAAAGUAGUUUUAAUAUUGAAAAACCUUUUGAUUGAUUAUCUCGACAUCAAGAUGUAUGACCAUAAAAAAUAAAAAGACUUUAAAUCUCAUAAAUAGUACAUUUUACAACAUAUUAUCUACAUUGUCCAUUUUCAAGAUUUUCAUAUGUUUAUAAAUCUACUUGAUUUUAAUCAUUUUUGAAAUUUAAAAUUUUAUACACCUUACCUGUACACCAACGGAUGGAUCCGUAUGACAACUGCACCCUUAAAAAAAAGCUUAUCUUAAUGGACAUUUUGUAUCUAUUGGAGUGCCACUUUCUCCACCGACUCAUCCCACUUCAUGCCAUUUAUAUUUCAUCAUUUAUUAUUCCUUCCAAAAAUUUUAACGCUAUUGUUCAUUUUUAUAUGCUUUUCCUGAAUCUUAUUACCCUCUCCAGUUAUUCUCACGGGAAAUUCGUCCGCCCUUUACACGUUAAUGCAGCACCGAAAUUUCGCCGAAAAUUUAGAAUUUUGCCCCUCAUUUUAGAAAAGAUUUCCGUUAUUUUUGGAAAGCAAAAUAUCUCAAGAUGGGAGAGGCAGAAAGUACCCUUACCUUUUCAAUUUAAGACAGAAUAACGUCCCUAAUUUGAUAUUUUAAUGAUUCCUUUUCGUAUAUCCAAGGUUAUUUAAGAUUGACAACUCAUGCAAUUUCAAGCCCUAUAAGCUAUACCCAUUGCAUUUGGACGAUUUUUUAUCCCGAUUGUCGAUUCGGAUGGGAAUGGGUCAAGAUUAAAUUGGUUAUCGGAUGGUGUGGGUCACAGCUCAAUUUUCCCUCCUAUAUAUUAUUAUUAUUUUUUAUUUUUUAAACUUGUUUAAUAUUUUUUUUAAAAAGUCCCUUUAAAUCUCUACCCAUAAACCUCUAUUUUCAUUUUAUUUUUUAAUAUUUUUUUAUCUGCAAUUUGGAUUGACUCAGACUUGAUUUGGACUGCCAAUCAAAUGAUCCAACAUGGAUUUGUGACCAAACCAUCAAUAUGAGUUUUAAAACAUUGAUCUCGACUCCGUAUUUUCAAGUGUUCGUAGAUUUGUAAUCAAGGGCAUAAAUUAGAGAUUUUAAACCAUCAUUAGGGUUUCAACACUGGGACGGUAUCUUAAGGCAGAUCUAUUAGGUGCGGUUGUAUUUUUAUGAUCAUAGUGCCGCGGCCUCACGCUAUCCCCAAGCUUCAUUAGAUUUCUUUUGUCAAAACUAAGCUUUCUUAUAUGGAAAAUUGAUUCACGAGGGCGGACCGCAUUUUUACAAUAUACGGUCCCAAGCGAUACACCAUCCAACUUCAAGAUGGAUGUAAAUAGGUGGUCCAUCUAAAACAUUUGAAACUAUCCAAAUGUUUUUUAAUAAAAUUAUUUAUAAUUUUCAAAUUUUAUUUAUUUAUUCAUAUUUAUGAUCUCCAUGUUAGAGAUUACGUAUCUUUAAAAAUUAAUUCUAAAAAUUCAUCUCAAAAAUAAUAUUUUAAGAGGUGAUUCAUUUCUAGGGACUCAUAGAAACUUGUGUCCUUGAAGUUCCACUAAAGAGAGCUUUGGACAUGGUUUCAAUGCGCCUUUGGACAUGGUUUCAAUGCGCCAACCUGCAUAGUUUAGAAAUGCAGGCUUGGCAAUAAAUAUAUUUUUAAAUAUAAUUUGAUCUUAAAUUUUAAAGAAUAUAUAAUUUUUGAUAUGGAGAUCAUGAAUAUAAACAAAAUAAAAAAUAGAAAUCAUAAUAAUAUUUAAAAACAUUUAAACUAUUAGUUACAAAUGUUUUUAGAUGGAUCACCUAUUUGCAUCUAUUUUUAAGAUGGAUGCUUUACACAUCUGGACCGCAUAGUGUAGAAAUGUGAUCUAGCCCGCAUCAAACCAUUUUUCCUUUGAGUUUUUGUGUUUUUGAUAAAGGUUGGGGCAAAUAUAUAUUUUACAAGAAAAUGACUUUACAAUACCUGUGAUGAAAAAUACCUAUUUAAAUUACACUUUACAAUAUUGCCCUUACGCUUAAGUAAAAUUGAACGGGCGGAUUUCAUCUAAACUCGUACGCGGCAGAUCCAACGGACUAGAUUGACGGAAGAUAUCCAAGGGAAUGUGGCGUGUCAAAACAAAAGUUCGAUUUACUCUAACUGAAAGUAAAAAGUCUAAAACAACCCUAACGAACUGUCCACAUGCCCCAACUACUCAAUCUUCAUGUGUUCCGAAAAUGUCCUCACUUUUUUUCAAAUAUAACAAUUACAACCUUCGUUUGAAUGAGAGGGCUUCUUGUGGAAGUGAGAUGCAUCGAUUGUAUGAGACGAUUUAUUUUUUGUACAAGGUGGUGAUGACUACUCUUAUUCAAUUCGAUGUGAAAUCCGACGAUUUAAAGUGUGCCACAAUAAUCGAAAAAUCUUAUUUUAUACUUUUUACAUAAUCAAUGAUGAGGGGUGGUAACCGAGUUAGGUAUAGGUCGGGUCACACCGGAUCCAUACCUAGACUUGGAAUACCACUAAUGGACCUGUACCCGAUGGGUCCAAAGAAUUCAGACCUGUACAUGUACUCGGGAUAUGAAUUAAGACCCAAGAACUGGACCCAUGACAAAAAUAAGUAGAUCUUAUUUUUAAUGCACAAUUCUGUAAAAAUUUCCAAAUUUCGUUUUUAAUGCAUAAUUCUGUAAAAAUCUCCCAAAUUUUCUUAAUGCAUCUUCUUCCGCAGAUAGAAAGUUCCUAAAAAAAACCCAAUUAAAAUGGCAAAAAAAAAGCACAAAAAUCAAAUAGAGACUUUCAAUUUUUGUUGAUCUUCUACCUCAUCAAGAUACAAAAAAAGAAGGCAUGAAAGUCAAAUAAAACCUUGCCAUUGUUGCUGACAUCAAGAUGCCAAAAGGAGAAUGCACAAAAAUCAAAUGAAAACUCACAAAAAGAAUACACAAAAAUCAAAUAAAGACUUGUCAUUUUUGCUUAUCAAAGAUCCAGUUUGGAAGAGAAAUAGGGUUUGGUCGGCCGCAUUGUAUGAGAGAGAGAGAAAAUGCAAAUCUACAGUCAAAGCUUCGAAGAUCGGAUAGACUCAGAGCUUGGCCAACUAGGGUUUUUGUGGUUGAAGCUUCGAUUUGAGAAAGGGACAGAGCUUUAAAGCGUUAACGCUUCAGCCAAAUAGGAGGAGGUAGGGUUUGCAUCAAUGUUCGUAAAAUUGAACUGGAACGUUUAAUUGGACAUGGGCUUAGAAGCAGUUUAACCGGGCUAGUCGGUAAACUAGCCGAUUCAAUCUCUCUAACCAGACAAGUCCUGGGUAGUUAAAAGUGUUGAAAAAAAAAAAAAAAGACUAAAAUAUGAAAAAUAUAUAAAUAAUGAUUAAAACAAAACACAUUCAAAUGAAGUUAAAAAUUAAUUAAAAAAAAUGGAUUUUAGCUCAUUUUAUAUUUUCCAAUGGCUAUUUUAAAAAUUUUAUAAAAAAAAUGAGAAAAUAUAAAAAUGAGUUUUAAUGACCAAAACAAAUUUUAAUUCACCAUAAUGUAAAUAAUAUUUAAAAAUGCAUUACAAAUCAAAUUCCUAAUUUUUGAGAAUUUAUAUACAUUUUUUUGAAUUUAUUUUUUUAAAAUAUCGGUUGAUCACGCUAAACGCCCAAAACCGGAAUCAGACACUAGCCGGUUCCGAUUCCGAUCUAAACUGGCAGUUAGCGGUUAGAUCAUGUAAUUUUACGAACAAUAGUUUGCGUUUGGGAAGGGAAUUGGGGAUUUAGGGUUUGUCCAUAAAAAAAAUUUAAAACAUGAUGGUUUAAGUUUGUUUAAUUAGGGCUAAAUAUAAUUAGUUAGGUUAUAGUUUAGUUAGAUAAUUAUGUUUGAAAAUAUAUAAUAUGAUUUUAAUUGAAUAAUGAAUUCUUAAUCUUUAUAUACUUAAAAUCCUAAAAAUAUUUACUUAAUAACUUAUAACUAUCGAAUUAGGUACGAGGCGGGUCCACCAAUACCCGUAUUCGUACUUGAGGCGGGUCCACCAAUACCCAUAUCCAUACUCGAAACCCGUAUCCGUACCCGAGGCGGGUCCACCAAUACCCGUAUCCAUACCGAAAACCUAUACUCGUACCCGAAAAUUUUUGGGUAUGCAUCGUUGGACCCGGACCCGCACUCGGACCUGAUUCAGGUAUAUCCACCGGGUCCCUGGUUGGGUACGGAUCCAUUACCAGCCCUAUGACUGGUUGGGUACGGAUCCAUUACCAGCCCUAUCAAAGACACGUUCCAAAUAAUGAUUGUAUCUUCUUAUACCAAAGGUAAAUAGUCUUAUCGUUUACAUUUCCAUUAGAAAAAAAAGAAAAAGGGGUUACUGUCUUGGCUGCUUUGACUUGUGAUCCACCGUGAUCCACCAUCUAUUUGACUGUCUUUUAAAUCAUGUAGAAUCCGGAUGGGGGUCAAAUAAAGUGGGCUUAUAAAGGGCCAAAUGUGUAGAAUCCGGAUAGGGGUCGAAUAGAGUGGGCUAAUACAGGGCCAAAUGUGUUAACUGCCUGUAUAUGGAAAACUUGGAGGCCAUCUUAAUGAUCUCAAUUUAAGAUGAAACUUAUUAUUUUAUUUUUUUUGUAUUUUUUUUUGGGUAGUUCAGUUAGGAAGGAGUCUCUUAAUCUCUAUAGGAAUUAAAUUCAAGACAUGUACCAGCAUUGAUCCAAUUAGGUAACGUCUCGAAAACUUCUUAUUAAUUAACUACCAUUACAACUUGCAAAAUACUAAUUAACGACAAUUGCAACUUGCAGAAUGCUAGAUAUUGAAUGACCUCUAUUAAAGUUCGAGAGAGCAUGAGCACAGAGAAGAAGAGAGAUCACACAAGAUUAUGAAAAGAAGACAGAUAACACACGAUUAUGAAAAGAAGAGAGAUAACACAAGAUUAUGGAGAUGAGAAGAAGAGAGAUAACACAAGAUUUACGUCGUUCAGAUCAAAGCCUUACAUCCACGGAUCCAAAGCCCAAUAGCUACAUCUUCAAUAUUUGGAUAAAAGAUUACACAAAUACGUACCUCUAUAUAUAGAGAAUAAUUACAAUGAAUCUUAGAGAUAGAGGAAAAUAAUAUGAGAAUAUUGGAGAUAGAGAAAAAUAAUACGAGGUUAUCACUAAUAACUUAUCUUCAAGACUCCUCAUCUUCAACACUUCCCUCAAGUUGGUGUUGGUACACAGAGUGAAGUGAAGUGGUUUUGUUUUUACUCGCCUCUUUCACGUUGAUGGUCUUGUUUUUACUUGGCGGAGAUAGAGGAAAAUAAUAUGAGGUUAUCACUAAUAACUAACUUGUCUAUCUUCAAUACUCCCUCAAGUUGGUUUUGUUUUUACUCGCCUCUUUUGAGUUGAUGGUUUUGUUUUUAUUCGAAGGAGAUAGAGGAAAAUAAUACGAGGUUAUCACUAAUAACUAACUUCUCUAUCUUCAACACUCCCCUGAAGUUGGUGUUCUUCAACACUUCCCUCAAGUUGGUGUUGGUGUACGGAGUGAAGCGAACUGGUUUUGUUUUUACUCGCCUCUUUUGAGUUGAUGGUUUUGUUUUUACUCGGCUCUUUCGAGUUGAUGUUUGAGUUUUUUGAGUUGUUUUUACUUGGCUUCUUUCGAGUUGAUGUUUGAGUUUUUCGAGUUGGGGGCCGGAGUUCUUUCGAGUUGAUGUUUGAGUUUUUCGAGUUGGGGCCAGAGUUUUUGAGUUUUGUUGCGGAGGUUGCGGAGGUUUUUUUUGCAUGACACUAGUGCCAAAGGUUUUAUUUUGUAUGCCGGGGUUUUGAGGUUUUUCUUUUGCGCGGCACAAGACUUGGGGCGGAGGUAACACUCAACUUAAGUACCGGAGUGCCAGAGUUCACACUCAACUUAAGACUUAGUUCACACUCAACUUAAGACUUAAGUACCAGAGUGCUAGAGGUUUUCUUUUGCCGUGCAAAACACUCAAGUGCCGGAGGUUGCGCAGCACAACACUCAAGUGCUAGAGGUUGCGCAAGACAAUACUCAAGUGCCGAAGGUUGCGCAGCACAACACUCUAGUGCCGGAGGUUGCGCUGCACAACACUCAAGUGCCGGAGGUUACGCAACACAACACUCAAGUGCCGGAGGUUGCGUAGCAUAGUGCUAGAGGUUUUCUUUUGCCGUGCAAAACACUCAAGUGCCGGAGGUUGCGCAGCACAGAGCCAGAGGUUUUCUUUUGCCGUGCAAAAGACUCAAGUGCUUGAGGUUGCGCAGCAUAACACUCAAGUGUCGGAGGUUGCACAACACAAUACUCAAGUGCCGGAGGUUGCACAACACAACACUCAAGUGCCGGACGUUGCGCAACACAACACUCAAGUGCCGGAGGUUGCGCAACGCAACACUUAAGUGCCGGAGGUUGCACAGCACAACACUCAAGUGUCGGAGGUCGCGCAGCACAACACUCAAGUGUCGGAGAUUGAGCACAACACUCAAGUGCCGGAGGUUUUCUUUUGCGCGGGCAACUUAAGUUGCCGGAGUGUCGGAGGUUUUCUUUUGCCGCGCAAAACACUCAAGUGCCGGAGGUUGCACGACACAACGUUAGAGGUUUUCUUUUGCAUGGCACAACACUUGGCCAGAGUACCGGAGGGUUUCUUUUGCCAACCAAAACACUAAGUGCACAACAACUUAAGUGCCGGCCUGAGUGCCGGACGUUUUCUUUUGCCGCGCAAAACACUCAAGUGCCGGUGCCGGAGGGUGCGCGGCUACUCAAUUGUCGGAGGUUUUCUUUUGGCGGGCGGAGGUAACACUCAAGUGCCGAAGGUUGGGCGGAGGUAACACUCAAGUACUAAGUGCCGGAGGGCUGGAGGUUGGGUGGAGGUAACACUCCAGUGUCUGGAGGGCCAGAGGUUGGGCGGAGGUAACACUCAAGUGUCCGGAGGGCCGGAGGUUGGGCGGAGGUAACACUCAAGUGUCGGAGGUUUCUUUUGUGCCCACAACAUUUGGGGCAGAGGUUUAGGUUAGGUUUUCUUUUGUGCGCCCCAACAUUUGGGGCAGAGGGAGGUUUAGGUUAGGUAUUUAGGUUAGAGGUUGAGGUUUAGGUUAGGUUUUCUUUUGUGGCCCACAACAGUCAGGGCGGAGGUUAAGGUUUAGGUUAGGUUUGCUUUUGUGCCACACAAAACUUGGGGCGGAGGUUUAGGUUUUCUUUUCUGCGUCACAACACUUGGGACUUGGGGAUUGAGGGGCUUAGGGCAGAGGUAGGUUUUCUUUUGCACCCCACAACACUUACACUUGGGGCGGAGGUAAAUGGGCGGAAGUAGGUUUUCUUUUGCGCAGGUUAGUGGGUGGAAGUAGGUUUUCUUUUGCACGGUACAACACUUGGUACUUGGUACUUGGGGCUUGGGGCUUAGGGGAGGUAGGUUUUCUUUUGCUCCCACAACACUUGGGGCGGAGGUAAAUGGGCGGAAGUAGGUUUUCUUUUGCGCAGGUAAGUGGGCGGAAGUAGGUUUUCUUUUGCACGGUACAACACUUGGUGGGCGGAGGUAGGUGGAGGGCGGAGGUUUUUUUUUGGGCGGCAAAAGGGUAGAGGUUUUUUUUUUUUACGGGACCCGCGGAGGUUUUUUUUUUUUUACGCGAACCAAGUAUGCGCAGGGGAGGCUUUUUUAAGCAGCAUAAUACUUGGGGCCGAAAGUUUGGGCCAUAAGUUUGAGAGAGCAUAUAUUAAAGUUCGAAAUUCGAAAUUCGAGAGAGCAUGUUAAAGUUCGAGAGAGCAUGUUAAAAUUCGAGAGAACAUCUUUACAGGAAGAAGAGAGAUAACACAAGAUUAUGGAAAGAGAAGAAGAGAUAUAACACAAAAUAUUAUGGAAAUAGAAGAAGAGAUAUAACACAAGAUAUUAUGGAAAUAGAAGAAGAGAUAUAACACGUAAAGCGCCAAAACCUUACCUCCACGAAUCCAAAGCUCAGUAGCUACAUUUUCACUAUUUGAACAAAAGAUUAAGAGAGUAUCCAAAACCCAAUAGCUACAUCUUCACUAUUUGAAUAAAAGAUUAAGAGAGUAUAUAUUAAAGUUCGAAAUUCGGGAGAGCAUGUUAAAGUUCGAGAGAGCAUCAACAUAAGAAGAAGAGAAGAGAGAGCAUCAAUACAAGAAGAAGAAAAAUAACAUAAGAUUAUAGGAAGAGAAGAAGAGAUAUAACACAAGAUUUACGUGGUUCAGGCUAAAACCUUACGUCCAAUAGCUACAUCUUCACUAUUUGAAUAAAAGAUUAUACAAAUACGUGCUUCUAUAUACAUACGACAAUCGCAAUGAAUCUUGGACAUAGAAAAAAAUAAUACAUCUUCACUAUAUGAAUGAAAGAUUAUACAAAUACGUGCCUCUAUAUACGUACGACAAUCACGAUGAAUCUUGGAGACAGAAAAAAAUAAUAAAAGAUUAUCUCCAUGAAUCUUGGAGAUAGAAAAAAAUAAUAAAAGAUUAUACUUGGAGAUAGAAGAAAAUAUAAAAGAUUAUACAAAUACGUGCCUCUAUAUAUAAAGGACAAUCACAAUGAAUCUUGGAGAUAGAAGAAAAUAAUAUAAUGCUUAUUCCCAAUAACCAACUUGAUCAAGCAAUUUGACUUUGUUUAUCUUCAACGACAUCUAAAAAACUUAUGAUCUAGAUGCCCGUAUCUAUCUUCAACAAUAUCUAAAAACUUCCACAUGCCCGUAUUUUGUCCAAUUGCAGUGAAAUCUUUGUCAAAUCCCUAGACUAUAAUGGAGGUAGAGAACCUACAAAACGAGAUCUCUGUCAUAUUAAUUAGGUAUUUGUCAUUAGUCUAUAAUUUAUUUUUAUUUUUUUUUUGAUUUAGCGGGCCGAUGAGGUAGACCAUGACCAGCCCAAUGCCACACCCUAGGUAUAGAUAUUAGAUAGUAAGACGCACCUCUAUCAUCCUAGUUUGGCCAAAACUUUUCUUAAAUUUGGAUAAUUUCACCGGAUCUGGUUUCUCAAACAAGGGAUGGGCCUGAUAUUUUAUUCAUUGUUGGGGUCGUACAAACGAAAACUACCCUAACUACCACAAACGCGCUUCCAAUAAAACUCAGCGAAGUUCACCGAUAUGUUCGUAAACGAACUAGGGUAUUUUCGUCCUUUUCUCACAACCGAAACUCUAUAAAAUGCCUCCUAUUUUUCAGAACCCGAAUCCCACUCCACACGGGGAAAAAGCUUCUUCGUCUUCCACUUUCUCUCUCUUCGUUCCCUCUUCGUUCCNNNNNNNNNNNNNNNNNNNNUUUUCUUUUGCCGCGCAAAACACUCAAGUGCCGGAGGUUGCACGACACAACGUUAGAGGUUUUCUUUUGCAUGGCACAACACUUGGCCAGAGUAUCGGAGGCCCAACCAAAACACUAAGUGCACAACAACUUAAGUGCCGGCCGGAGUGCCGGACGUUUUCUUUUGCCACGCAAAACACUCAAGUGCCGGUGCCGGAGGGUGCGCGACUACUCAAUUGUCGGAGGUUUUCUUUUGGCGGGCGGAGGUAACACUCAAGUGCCGAAGGUUGGGCGGAGGUAACACUCAAGUACUAAGUGCCGGAGGGCCGGAGGUUGGGCGGAGGUAACACUCCAGUGUCUAGAGGGCCGGAGGUUGGGCGGAGGUAACACUCAAGUGUCCGGAGGGCCGGAGGUUGGGCGGAGGUAACACUCAAGUGUCGGAGGUUUCUUUUGCGCCCACAACAUUUGGGGCAGAGGUUUAGGUUAGGUUUUCUUUUGCGCGCCCCAACAUUUGGGGCAGAGGGAGGUUGAGGUUAGGUGUUUAGGUUAGAGGUUGAGGUUUAGGUGGCGGAGGUUAAGGUUUAGGUUAGGUUUGCUUUUGUGCCACACAAAACUUGGGGCGGAGGUUUAGGUUUUCUUUUCCGCGUCACAACACUUGGGACUUGGGGAUUGAGGGGCUUAGGGCAGAGGUAGGUUUUCUUUUGCACCCCACAACACUUACACUUGGGGCGGAGGUAAAUGGGCGGAAGUAGGUUUUCUUUUGCGCAGGUUAGUGGGUGGAAGUAGGUUUUCUUUUGCACGGUACAACACUUGGUACUUGGUACUUGGGGCUUGGGGCUUAGGGGAGGUAGGUUUUCUUUUGCGCCCACAACACUUGGGGCGGAGGUAAAUGGGCGGAAGUAGGUUUUCUUUUGCGCAGGUAAGUGGGCGGAAGUAGGUUUUCUUUUGCACGGUACAACACUUGGUGGGCGGAGGUAGGUGGAGGGUGGAGGUUUUUUUUGAGCGGCAAAAGGGUAGAGGUUUUUUUUUUUUACGGGACCCACAGAGGUUUUUUUUUUUUUACGCAAACCAAGUAUGCGUAGGGGAGGCUUUUUUAAGCAGCAUAAUACUUGGGGCCGGAAGUUUGGGCCAUAAGUUUGAGAGAGCAUAUAUUAAAGUUCGAAAUUCGAAAUUCGAGAGAGCAUGUUAAAGUUCGAGAGAGCAUUUUAAAAUUCGAGAGAACAUCUUUACAGGAAGAAGAGAGAUAACACAAGAUUAUGGAAAGAGAAGAAGAGAUAUAACACAAGAUAUUAUGGAAAUAGAAGAAGAGAUAUAACACAAGAUAUUAUGGAAAUAGAAGAAGAGAUAUAACACGUAAAAGCUACAUUUUCACUAUUUGAACAAAAGAUUAAGAGAGUAUCCAAAACCCAAUAGCUACAUCUUCACUAUUUGAAUAAAAGAUUAAGAGAGUAUAUAUUAAAGUUCGAAAUUCGGGAGAGCAUGUUAAAGUUCGAGAGAGCAUCAGCAUAAGACGAAGAGAAGAGAGAGCAUCAGCACAAGAAGAAAAAAAAUAACACAAGAUUAUAGGAAGAGAAGAAGAGAUAUAACACAAGAUUUACGUGGUUCAAGCUAAAACCUUACGUCCAAUAGCUACAUCUUCACUAUUUGAAUAAAAGAUUAUACAAAUACGUGCUUCUAUAUACAUACGACAAUCGCAAUGAAUCUUGGAGAUAGAAAAAAAUAAUACAUCUUCACUAUUUCAAUAAAAGAUUAUACAAAUACGUGCCUCUAUAUGCAUACGACAAUCACAAUGAAUCUUGGAGACAGAAAAAAAUAAUAAAAGAUUAUCUCCAUGAAUCUUGGAGAUAGAAAAAAUUAAUAAAAGAUUAUACUUGGAGAUAGAAGAAAAUAUAAAAGAUUAUACAAAUACGUGCCUCUAUAUAUAAAUUACAAUCACAAUGAAUCUUGGAGAUAGAAGAAAAUAAUAUAAGGCUUAUUCCCAAUAAUCAACUUGAUCAAGCAAUUUGACUUUGUUUAUCUUCAACGACAUCUAAAAAACUUAUGAUCUAGAUGCCCGUAUCUAUCGUCAACAAUAUCUAAAAACUUCCACAUGCCCGUAUUUUGUCCAAUUGCAGUGAAAUCUUUGUCAAAUCCCUAGACUAUAAUGGAGGUAGAGAACCUACGAAACGAGAUCUUUGUCAUAUUAAUUAGGUAUUUGUCAUUAGUCUAUAAUUUAUUUUGAUUUUUUUUUCGAUUUAGCGGGCCGAUGAGGUAGACCAUGACCAGCCCAAUGCCACACCCUAGGUAUAGAUAUUAGAUAGUAAGACGCACCUCUAUCAUCCUAGUUUGGCCAAAACUUUUCUUAAAUUUGGAUAAUUUUACCGGAUCUGGUUUCUCAAACAAGGGAUGGGCCUGAUAUUUUAUUCAUUGUUGGGGUCAUACAAAUGAAAACUACCCUAACUACCACAAACGCGCUUCCAAUAAAACUCAGCGAAGUUCACCGAUAUGUUCGUAAACGAACAAGGGUAUUUUCGUCCUUUUCUCACAACCGAAACUCUAUAAAAUGCCUCCUAUUUUUCAGAACCCGAAUCCCACUCCACACGGGAAAAAGCUUCUUCCUCUUCCACUUUCUCUCUCUUCGUUUUCUCUCUUCAUUCUCGCUUCGUUCUCUCUUCGUUCUCUCCUCUCAUUAUCUCUCUUCUGGUUUUUAUAGGUUUCUUCUCUUUCCUCUGAUUCUUCCAUGGCAGGGAGCUUAGCUGUAGCUCUCGGAAAAUAGCUUUUUUCCUGUAUUUUGACCCUAUUUUCUAGGGGAAUUUCAAUCUCCUUUUCAGGAACCCUAAGUCCUCUGUGUGGUCAUACGUAUGAACUGGUUCGUUAACCUAGGGUUUUUUUCAAAUUCGAUACAUUUUAUUAUAACCUGUCUCUUGAUUUUUAUCCUCCAUUUUUCCCCUCAAUUACCUUCUAAUUUUGAAAAACCACUGAAUCAUCGGUUAUAUCUGGAGAGAUGGAGUUCAGAAAACGUGAGAGUGCUCAAUUGAAGAGAAGUAAGUUGAGAUUUAGAUUAUCAUCCCUUUUAAUUCAAAUAUAUAUGGGUUUUUCGUAGUUUGUCUUUUUUUUUAAAAAAUUUUUUUACUGCAUAUCUUAAUACUAAUUGCUUGUAGAGAUUGAUUUUAACUGUAUUUUGAAUUUGAAAUAAUAUUAAAUUGUUCCUUUUUUACUUUUGAUCUUUGAGUUGGAUAGCUCCAAACUACUGGGAUCUGAUGCUUAAGUUCUGUGUAAGCUGCUUUUUUUUUAUUAUUCGCAGUUGAUAGCAAAUGACUAUAGCUAAAAGGAGUUUAUGGUGCAUUAUUUUAUUUAGCUUAUUUUAUUUUGUGUAUAAUUAAUUAUUUUACUAUUUAAUAAUUUAAUAGUUAAUUAGUACAUGGUUAGGGAAGCAUGGAACUGGAGACUAAAUCAUGAAGUUUUAAGGACCUGAGUCAAAAAGUAUCUGGCCUAUUGCUUGCAAAUCCUAUAGCCAUUAGCUUUUGGUGGUUUUAUUUUUAUUUUUUAUCAUGAGAUUCUACAAAUGAAAAAAAGGAUUUUAAUAAUUAUAUGUAAAUAACAUAUUGUUAAAAAUUUAAUGAAUCUAUGCUAGUUUUUAAUCAUUUUUUAAAGCAGUAAAAAAAUCAUAUAUUUUUUUUCUUUUUUCUUUUUUGAGUUUUAAAAAGUUUAAUUUUUUAUUUGUUAAAUGUUUGAUUCAUUGGGUAUUUCAAGUUUGAUAAAUCUGUUUAUGUUCUUUGGAGCUAUAAAAUUUUGAGAUACAAUCAGGCGUGUGACCUUCUACAAGUUUUUUUCAUUUGGUACGGACAAAUUUAGGAUUUAAAGGUAAUUUGGUGUGGACAAAUUUAAGAUUUAAAUGUGGAUGACUGCCAUUGCAGAUUGCCUCUUGGGGAAGAAACACAACUUUGUGUUCCUUUUUCGUUAUACUUCUUUGUAAUAUAUGCAGUUAUGCACUAUUUACUGAAUUGCGCAUGUGCAUCCAUGACAAUGCGAUAUGCAUCAAUGUUUUUGAAUAAAAUAUGCAUGAUAAUUAAUUAUGCACACUGGAUAUGGUGCAUUGCAAUGUCUGAGUCUUAGAUAAUUCUUUUUGAAUGAUGACUCAAACUUUCCCUUAACCUGUCCCAAGCCCUAUAAAGGAGGUGGGUUGGUUAGGUUGGUAGCCAGCGUAGAACUUUGAAACAUCAUAUCAUGAAUCCUAAACCAAACAUGAUUCAUCUAGCCAAGCUAACAUGAAUCCUGGACUUGGACAGAGCCAAAACAGAAUAAAGUCGCCUAAGGUUUUCAAUUUUAGAAAAGAAACUUGACAAGUUCUUCUGUUUUGGAAAACAAGGUUUUGUUCCGACAAUAAGGCAUCGUUUUCUGAGAAUUAGGCGGUCAAGGUGGCGAGUGCCACAACACGACGCCUAGAGUUCCAUACUCACCAAGUCCAAAGUUAACAUUCAAAAGCAAUCUGCGAUUCUGCAUUAGGAUGCCUAACAUGAGAGUUCCCGUGCUUUGUUGGGGAAAUCACAAUAGAGAUGGAAAGAAUCCAAGGGCUCUUUCCAAAUAUUUUAUUUUGUAUCUAGGGGGUGGCAUUUCAGAAAGCCACUCCAUUUUGUUUGAUGUUGGCGAACAUUAGCUAAUACCUCCCCAUUGACCUCUAUAGUAACCUUGGUGCUGUUCCACGUUUUUGUAAUAAAAUGUCUAUCAUUAACCCUGCCUAAGAUUUGAACUUGAAGCCAAUUCUUUUAUGUAUAAAUUUCAGUAUAUUUAAUUAAAAGACUGAAAAAUAUUUAAUUAAAAAACUGAAACACUAGCCCAAACCUGGGUUUUUCCACAAUAACACUAGCCCAAACCUGGGUUUUUCCACAAUAAAACUUACUCAUUCACCCAAUUGGCUGAGCCAACUUGACUCAGAAUGAGUUUUUGAACUACUGAUUAAGAUGCACAAGUUCAUAUAUGUUUAUAAAUGAUGAUACGUAAUUGCACAUGCGGUGACAAGCUAUAAUAUUUCAUAUGGAUUUACACAUUGGAAUAAAAAAAGAAGUAAUCUAAAAUGGACCCAUGAAAUCAAUGCUGGGUUUUCUUCCAUGUGAUACUCAUUCUGUUAUUAAAUUCAAAUUCAAGUUGACAUAUUAACUUUCUGUGUGUUGUAAAGAAGAAGCAAUUUCUUAAGUUUUCAAUUAGGUUAAGCUGAAUGGAUUAUCUGUUACAUAUCUUGACUUUUCUACUUGCUAGUCCAAGACCCAUCAUAGUGUUAGCUCCUUUUAUUUCUAAUCUAAAACUAUGAACUUGUGACAUAGAUUUUAUUCAUGUCUUAACAAUGAUUAAAUCUUCAAAUUAAGAUUGAGGUGAAUGGCUUAACUGUGAAAUGUAGUGGACUUGGUAUUCAAUUAUUCAUCAAUGCUACAUAUUUUCUCAUUCAAUGGUGGCGGUAUUUCUAAGUUUCAACGGUCAAAGAGAGAAGAUAUUUAGUUGCUUGGGUGCAUAUCAUAAGCUCUCGUGCAAUUGUACCUUUGCUAGUCUCGAACUAGCUUCUCUAGAGAUUGAAUUGUAACAAGCUUUGGCCUCUCUAUUUUGUAGUGCCUUGCAAUUCUAAUACUGGGAGACGUCAGUCCUCAUCUCCUUCUGCCAUCGUCAUAGGCAGUGGGUUUGCAGGCCUUGCAGCUGCUCGUGUGCUUCAUGAUGCCUCUUUUCAGGUGACUAGCAAAUAAUUUCCCUAGGUUUCUUUUUGGUAAUAUUACUUAUGAAGUAAAAUUCUUCCAGUUUUCAGUAUCACAUUGGUCGCUCUUCUCUUUUUCUGAACCUAAUUAACCUAAUAAUGUUCAGGUUGUUGUCCUGGAAUCAAGAAACAGAAUUGGUGGCCGUGUGUACACUGACCACUCAUUUGGUUUCCCAGUUGAUAUGGGAGCAUCAUGGUAAGCACUAAUGCUGCGUGGUUCUUAUAUUUUGUUUACUUUGGUACCAUCAAUCAAAAAAAUAUACUAAUAUUGGUGUGUAUGUAACAUAUUGGUUUCUCAGGUUGCAUGGUGUUUGCAAAGAGAAUCCGUUGGCUCCUCUGAUUGGAAGACUGGGACUACCGCUCUACCGUACCAGUGGUGACAACUCUGUUUUGUAUGACCAUGACUUGGAGAGGUAAGUAUCUAAGAAUCAUAAUUUUUUGAGAGAUUCUCGUUGUGUGGUGAAGUAUUUUAUCUUUGAAAGAGUGGCUGCUUCUCAUGGUCUGUGAUUCUAAAAAGAGAAUAAUCAGUUGCAUUUUCUUCAUACAUGUGGCAAGGAUUGACUUAUCAAAAGAAAAGAAAAAGAUAAAAGUGGGGUACGCUGAUGAUAGUUGCUAGUGGCAGUGCUGCAUCACACAUUAAAUGAACAAGUUGCAGAAUCUAAAAAUCAGGAAAUUAACGUUGGAAUAAUGUUCACUUUUUUAUAACUUUUGAGGGAUUACUGACCACAAAGAGGGAAAAAAUAGGUAUUAAUUAUACACUUGGGUUGCUUAGAAAAUACGCAAAUUGAUGAACACUUGAUUAACUGCUAAUAUGAAUUUGGCUUUCUGAUAUUAGCAUAUUGAGAUAAGAUAAUUAUUGGGCCAUCAUAAUUUUCUAUGGGUCCUAAAUGAACAUGUUAUCCUCCAUACUAAUACAUUUGUUAAGUCCUCAGGAAUCUCCCAUCUAACAUGUCUAUGAUGUCAUCACCUUUUCUUUGAGAUGAGAAAAAUUAGAACUUUUUGUUUAAAAUGCAGCCCUAAGAGCAGUUUGUUGUGGCUUCCUUUUCUUUCUCUUGAUCGGAUCUCUAUCUUCUAAAAGGAAAUUUUAUUUGAGGUUUGGAACACCAUGAAAUCACCUGUAAGUAUUAGUUGUGAAAUGGAAAUUGCUUUGGUACAUAAACCUUAUCCUAUUGUCCAAAGAAUUCUUUGCUUAGCUGCUGUACAACAGUCGAGCUGCGUCCUUGUCAGAUAUUUUUGGGGUAAUGCACGUAUGUAUUUGAAGCUUACAUAAUCUGAAACCCAUAGAAUGAGUGUAGAGGAGAUGAGGAUUUGAGAUGGAUGAGUGGCAAGACAAAGAAGGGAUAGAAUUCGAAAUGAAUACAUUCAUUGAAAAUUUAGGUGUGGCACCAAUAGGCGAUAAAAUGGAAGAGAGAUUUAGGUGAGUUGGCCAUGUGUGGUACAGACCCAGUACAACACUUGUUAGGAGGUACGAGUCAGUUCAAGUGGAAGGCUCAAAAAGGGCAAGGGGUAGGCCAAAAGGACAUGGUUGGAAGUAGUGAGAAAAGACAUGUGGACUUACAGCCUCACUAAGGAUACCCUUAAUACAGUAGAAUGGCAGACCAGGAUUCGUGUAGUAAACCCCAAUUAGUUGAGAAAAGGUUUUGAUGAUGAUGGUUGUUCCUCUCUAUAAUUUCUAUAGAGUACCAGUUUGGGGAAGAUCCUCGAGUAACUUCAAUUUCAAAAAAGAAAACCCAAAUUAGAGCUGCUAUGUUUUAUCUUUUGGACAACUUUUACCUUGAAUCUUGGUAAGCAUAUGGCGUGAUGUUUACAAUACAAUUGCUGAAUGAUGAAGGUUAUAUAGAGAAUAAUAUGGGUUUGUACUUAGGGGAUUUUGGGUAACUCUUCAUAUGGUUUACACCUUCACUGUUUUACUUUUUCAGCUAUGCACUUUUUGACAUGGAUGGGCAUCAAGUCCCUCAAGAACUAGUCACGGAGGUCGGCAAGUUAUUCGAGAGCAUCCUAAAGGAGGCAUGAUUCUUUUCCUUUUUUCCAUGCCUAGCCAAGAUUUCUUAUAUAGUAUCUGUAAAUUUUAAAAAUUUGUUUCUUCUCGAGAUUAAUCUCACUUUUGCUCUUCUUGAUGAUUACAGACAAUAAAAGUAAGGGAGGAAAACAGUGAAGACAUGUCCGUACAGCAGGCAUUUUCAAUCGUUUUGGAAAGACGUCCAGAUCUAAGGUUUGAUAAGAAUAGGUCAUUCACAUGCACACAUACAGAUUGUACACUGAUUCUAUGUAGCUAUUGUCAUUGCUAGCUCUUUCUGAGCUUAUUGUCUAUUUUGAUUAGACAUGCUAUGCCUUUGGUUUCCAGACAAGAAGGACUUGCGCAUAAGGUAUUGCAAUGGUACUUAUGCAGAAUGGAAGGUUGGUUUGCUACAGAUGCUGAUAACCUAUCAUUGAAAAGCUGGGAUCAGGUAAGAAAGUUCAUAUUCCAAAUGAUACACAUUUCAUGCAAUUUGUAAGUAUAAUUGAAUGGUUCAUGUAAUGAUAUCUGAGUAAAAUUGUUUCUUUAAUUCAUGGCACAGGAAGAAUUGCUUGCUGGGGGCCAUGGUCUAAUGGUCCGUGGUUAUUGUUCAGUUAUAAAUACCCUUGCUAAAGGCAUAGAUAUUCGCUUUGGCCACAGGUAUGUAAAUUAUAAUAAGUCAGUUGAAUUACUCUAUUUUCAUGUGCACAUUUGUAUAGCCUCUGUUUCGUUUAAAUUACCAUUUUAUCUUUGGCUUUUAAUUUCCUCGUAUUUCGUAAGGCAUCACCAAAGCACCCCACUCUUUGCAAGUGAAAAACAUGCCUUAAUUUCUUUCUAGUAAUUAGUAUAUCCCUUUAUAGCAAGUAACUGGAUUCUUGUGGACAUUUUCAUUUGGGAAAGUAAUCAAAUGGGCUACAGAAAGCCCAUAGUCUAUUGAGUCAUCACUGUCCAAUGAAAAGAUGGUCACUGAUAGAGAUAUGGUGGUACCCACUAUUGAGGCCAAGCCAACUGGUAAGUGUCACUUUCGCUCCAUUGCCUUCCCUUAUUUUAAUGGACAGUGACUAUCCAAUAUGCUAUGAUUUUUCUCCUAGUCCAUUGAAUCAUACUAUUUGUUUCUCCUUUCUUUUUCUUUCCCUUGUUGAAAGUAACUUUAUCCCAUUCUUUUAUUUACAGCUGUUUAUCCAUCCCACGAUAUUUUUAGCAUUUUUUAAAUUAUAUAUUUUCAUGUUUUCAUGCAAUGCACAUGCUAGCAACUCUCUCUUUCUCUAGCACCUUCACACUCUCUCUCCUAUACACACAAUGUGUGCAUUGGCUCGAUUGCGCACAUUUAUGUAGAGGACAGCUAUUUUAUUGUUCAUUGGUUGGUCAAGGAAUUUCCAGGAUUGCCUUAUUUUGUUCUCAUUUGGAAAACAGGGUUAUAAAAAUCUCUCGUCAUUACCAUGGAGUAAGAGUCACUGUCGAGAAUGGUAAAACCUUCAUAGCUGAUGCAGCUGUUGUAGCAGUACCCCUUGGGGUACUGAAAGCCAAUUCCAUAAAGUUUGAGCCAAGACUACCAGAGUGGAAAGAAGCGGCGAUAUCAGAUCUUGGAUUUGGUAAUGAAAACAAAAUUGCAUUACACUUUGAUAAGGUCUUUUGGCCCAACGUAGAAUUCUUGGGAGUGGUUGCUCCAACCACUUAUGAGUGCAGCUACUUUCUAAAUCUUCACAAGGCAACUGGUCACCCUGUCCUUGUAUACAUGCCUGCUGGUCGGCUGGCUCAUGACAUUGAGAAGAUGUCUGAUGAAGCUGCUGCUAACUUUGCUGUUUUACAACUGAAGAGAAUUUUGCCCAAUGCAUCUGAUCCUGUAAGUCUAGCUUUAUAUAUUCCUUUUUUUCCCCCUAGUUUUAUCAUUUACUAUUGAUCCAAUCUCUUCACCUUCCUGUUCUUUUUGCAUUUUAAUACUUUCUGAUAUCAAUUCUUUUGUGCUGAGGCCUAUUUUUAGCGCUAAACGGAUAACAUCCUCCUAAUUGUAUGAAAGUUGCAUGUAUAUUUGUAUUAUGUAGCUGCAUUUACCAUGCACACACUCAUUGACAUAUCGAUUUUCUGUUUGGGUUUUCUAUUCUGUUUUCUGGACUUUAAAAAAUGAGGAGGAUUAAAUUCAUACCAUUUUGAAAGAUAAAAAAGGUUGGAGGAUGUACAUCUUCUGCAAAUGAAGCACAUUGAGUAUGGAUAUUGCUUUACUGAGAGCAGUUCUUUUUGGUGCUGUUUAUCUUAUAUACAUUUUACUUAGUAGACAUUUUUGGUCAUCUCAGACUAACAAUUGGCAUGUGUUUAGGUAUAAUCAAACUUUCCUUUCUUAGUGUCUUCCUUUCAGGGUCAGUUUGAAAGGCAGUGUCAUGUAUCCUAUGUAUGUACAAGUUCAUGAUAAUGGGUAUUAUGUCUUCUAUUGCUGUAUUGGUUGUUCUUGGUUGUACACACAAUUAAUAGUGUUCUGUGUGCAGGUGUUGUAUAUUAGAUUUUAUUUUCACUUCUCAGAAGGCUACAUACCUCUCAUUGGCCAGUGGCUGGCAUGAGCUUUCAAUAGUCAAACCCUCCCCUUCAUCUCUACUUGUCAUAUUGAGUUUUAGUGUAGGAGUUCAUGUAUGUGGGUGUGUGUGUGGGUGUCUGUGUGAGUGUGUGUGUAGAUAUUGUAUAUUGAUUAUUUGUGUGUAUCCAUGGUAAAUUGUGUAAAGGUUAUUUGUCUUCUGUCAUUUUAUUUCUUGUCCUUGAUUGGACACUUCCUCACAAGAGUAAUUUAGUCAUCCAUAUUCUUCAUUCUGUUGUUGAAUGCGAAAUUCUGUACACAAGUUUCUCACUCACAAAUUUAGUGUUUUAACCAAAAAGAGGCAAUACCUUAAAAGUGAUAUCGUCCUGGCAUAUUUGUGGUAAAAUUUGUAAAGCGCUGUAGUUAUUUUUUGAAAAUUUGUUGGUGCUUACAAAAUUACAGGACUUAUAGGAAAACGUGAUAUUGAAACUUCAGAGAGAGAGUUUAGCAAUUGGAGUUCUUCUCAGAAACUUUUGGCUCAUAUUUCUUGACAGUGUGUAUAUGUGUGCCUGUAAGUGCAUGCGUUGAGCGCGUGUGUGUGUGAGAGAGAGAAUCGUUCACAUCGAGGUCACAUGUGUGGGAUCUCACAGCACUCUUUGUGCAAGUGGCAUAGCACUCUUUGUGCAAGUGGCUUUCUAUGAACUUGUACACAAGGUUUCAAUAAAUGAUCACAAAAUUGGAUAUACUGGGCACUAUGAUCUGUCUUUUGAAGGUGUAUCAGCUGCAAUAUAUUAGCUUAUAUCACCAUAGACCCUAGCAGAUCUUUCUUAUUUUUUGUGAACCUUACUUGUAAUUAUCACAUCACAGCGUGCUGUGUUUCGUGUGUAGUAUAUACAUUUGCUGACGAUGUGUACACUCAUUUUGUGCGAUAUCUCGUUCUCUCUCUUAUGCACACAUGCACAAAUGAUAUUUGCUUUUGUGCUUCAUCUCUCUUUGUCUCUCUCUCUCUCUCUCUCUCUCUCUCUAUCUUUCUCCACCCAUUUGUCUAUCAAGCAGUCAAUCUAUUUCUUCGAGUCAAGCACUUCGACUCAAAAGUUUCUCCAUGAAAAAAUAACAAUCUCGUGUGCCUUCUUCAGAUUCAAUACCUAGUAUCUCAUUGGGGCACAGAUGUUAACUCCCUAGGUUCCUACAGCUACGACGCAGUAGGAAAGCCUCAUGACCUCUAUGAGCGCCUCCGCAUCCCUGUGGACAAUCUCUUCUUCGCAGGUGAAGCAACAAGCAUGAGCUAUCCCGGCACCGUUCAUGGUGCUUUCUCUACUGGAUUAAUGGCCGCUGAAGAUUGCCUUAUGCGUGUUAAAGAAAGGUAUGGAGAGCUAGACCUGUUUCAGCCUGUGAUGGCAGAGGAAGCCGAUGCAAUAUCUGUUCCCUUGCUCAUAUCAAGGAUGUAAAGACUAUGCUAACAUAUACGAAUAAUUGUGUGCUUUGGAGACCUACUAUAUAGUUUUACUUGGCCUCAAGAACAAUAUAUACACUUGCGGCUAGAAUGCUAUUAUAGAUAUGACAGUUUUAUGAUGAUAUUUGAGGCUGGAGACCCAUUUAGCUGAAAAUAUUACUUGGUUCACUUUGAAUAAUAUAUGGCAGUUUUGUGAUGAUAUUUAUAGGAACCAGAAAUGGCCCACUAUCCAAGCCAUAAUUCUUGUUCACUAUCAGCUAGGGCAAUUCUUUAUAGCAUUUGAGGUAUUGGGAAGUGACCCAUUAAGGCCAAUAUUGCUUGGCCUACCACACUGAUAUAUGACAAUUUUAGGAUGAUAUUUUAUGAAGGGAAGUGACCCAUUAAGCCAAUAAUCCUUAUUCACUAUAGUUUUAUGACUGAAGGAGAGAUACAAUUUGAUAACUUCAUGGAAGUUCUAUAUGGUAUUUCAAGCAUGGGGAGAUGACCCAUUUAGUAAAAAUUUCUGGUUAAGUGCUAUUUGGCAGUUAUAUAUAAUGUUAGUUUGGAGAGGAACCCAUUGUGUAAAUGGAAUUCAAUAUCAGAGGUGUAAAGCUCUAUUGCCGUUAAAUGCAGGCAAGUGAGAGCCAAUAUAUUUCUUUAUGCACAAUGUGAAGAGAUUAAAUAGUUGCUCCUCCAACCUGAUUGAGGCAAGGGUAAUGUCUACUGCUUAGAGAUAUAUAGAUGAUUAUGGUCGUAUUUGAGGCAGCGAGAAAUACCCAUAAUGCCAAUAUUGUUUCUUUGAUCGUAGGACUUCAAUAUGGAGUAAAAAAAAAUGUAAAGAGAAACUUUUAAAAACUGAUUGAUAGUGCUUUGAGAUGACAUGUUUUUCUUUUUCUUUUCUUUUUUUCUUUAUUAUGUGAUACCUUUUAAAGAAAAAGUGGGCAGCUUAUUAUAUUUGGUAAAAAAAUUAUAUAAGUUUGCAACCUUCCUUAUACCAUAACCUUCGAAGUAAGGUGGACCUCAAAAAUCAGGUAGAAAAGAGUGUGAAGUAGGCCGGGUCCGGUAUGAGUAAAAAAAUUGGACUUGGCAGGUUGGGUCUGGGUCCAAGUUCAUGUGGACCCGAUACGAAUAGUGUUAUUAUUUAAAUAAUAUUAAUUAAUAUUUAAAUAACAUUUAGAUAAAUACAACUAUAUCGUUUAGUUAUAGUAUUUAAAUAAAUACAACUAUAUAUUUUAGUUAUAAUAUUUAAAUAAUACAUGUAUAUAUUUUAUAUAAUAUUUAUUAAANNNNNNNNNNNNNNNNNNNNUGGACAUCCGUGAUCGUCAGAUCGGUCCAGAUUCAAUCUGGGCCGUUGGGCUCAUAUGUUCAUAUGAGCUAGUGGGCUAAUCCCAGCUUUUUCUUAUAUAUAUUAUAUAUAUAUAUAAUUUUGAUGUAAAAUGUUCAUAGGAUUAUCUCAAAAUUUAUUUUUAUAUCUAAUUAUAAAAUUUUAAAUUUUAAAAAUGGUUAAAAUCAAGUAGAUCUAUAAACAUAUGAAAAUCUUGAAAAUGAACGAUAUAGAUAAUAUGUUGUAAAAUGCACUAUUUUUGAGACUUAAAAUCUUUUUAUUUUUUAUGAUCAUACUUCUUGAUGUCGAGAUGAUCAAUCAAAGGGUUUUUCAACAUUAAAACUACCUUUUCCGAUGGAUUUUUGAGAUGCAUCCGUAGUUCUACAUUAUAAGGUUGCAUCCUUAUAUAAAUGUGUUCGAUAUAUAUAUAUAUAUAAAAGAUUGUCACAAAUUUAUUUUUACAUUUCCAGUGCAAUAUUCUAAUCAUUUUUAAUGAAAUACUUUUAGAGAGGCAAUCCCUCAUUUGGAAAGUAAAAAAUGAACGUCCUUAAUUUCAAAACUAAGUACAUGAGCAAAUAAUGUAAAACACUGGCCUCCUGGUUUUCUACUUCUCGAAGCAAUUAAACAUUAAUUUUCAUAAGAUGGCCUGAAUUAUUUUAAAGAAUCAAGAGUGCGUGUAUUGUGUUCCCACUGGAGCAAAUUGUACAUUUGGCCCCCACUUACAAGGAUCUGGUUGAUUAGAAAUUUAAUCAAUAGAUGAGUAAACAAAAAACAAAAACAAUGGGGAUUUUGAGUUCUUGAACACCUCGAUCUGACUAGCAAGAAUCAGACUGUGCAUACGUUUCUUGUUCGCAACCCGAGCCUCGAAAAUCAAUGUUCAAAUAUAAGAACUUCAUGAGAAAAUAUAUAUCUCUGCCAAGACUUGUCGAGGUCAUUGGAAAGUGGUGGCUAGUUAUAGGAAAAAAAAAAAUAGAUUCCUGCACAAGCAAAGGGGGUGCGGUUUAUAUAAGGUGUAGUAAAUUGCACCUUGAUGCAGUUUCACUUUUGAGAACUCUUAAAAUGACCUGAAAAUCUAUUUCCACGUCUAAUUAUAAUUCAAAGCUAAAAAAUGGUGUAGAUCGAACAUAUGUUUAAAUACUUGAAAAUCUUGAACAUAGCCAUUUUGGAUAAUAUAUAACAAGAUAUACUACAUUUAGGACUUGAGUUUCUUUUCUUUUCUUAUCCAUAAAUCUUGUGGUCGAUAUGAUCAAUUGGAGGCUUUUCUAAGAUUGGAACAAUUGUUUUUUCUUUUUUUUUUAUGACUUUUAAGGUGUGCCUACUUUUACCUAUGAAGUUAUACAUGUGAACAAAUGUUGGAGGUGGAUAUGCAUGAGUUUGUCCGAUCCUUCAUAUAAUUUUGGGGGCAAAAAUCAUGUGUAGAAAUUGCAAUUUUAAAUCAAUGUUCAAUAAUCAAUUGUAGACCCUGUAACCCAAUUUCAUUUGGUCAUUAGAUGGAAGCUGCACCACUUGGAUGUUAAUUAAAAUUUAGGGAAAAUUACAUACAUAUUCGUUAUUGUUUCUGUUAUUACGACUCUACCAAAUAAUUUCUGUUAUUACCACCAUAUCCGUUUUAUUCAUGUCAAAAUGAGAAUUUAUAAAAAAGAUGACUUUACCAUUUUUUGAACAACCAAAUUCAAAGUAAUUUCGGUUAUUGAUUCACCAAUUUCUGUUAUUGAAGAAUCCAAAAAUAUUUUAUCUCUCUCGUGGCGUAUUUUCUCUACCUCUAUGAAGUCAUAGUUAUCCGAUAAAAUAAAAGGGAACAACUAGUUUGAGCCCCUAAAUUUAGGAGAAAUCCAAGGGAUUAUGAGAUUAGAAGAUUAGGAGAAAUCUUGUGGCGUAUUCACUCUCUACGAUAAAAUUAGGGGACAACAGCUAGUUUGAGCCCCUAAAUUUAGAAAAAAUCGAAGAGAUUAUGAACUUAUCCCAAAAACCAUUUUUACCCAUGUAAUGUAGCAAAGGUAGAGACAAGAUAUACAGACCCACAUGCGAGAAAAAAAAUUUGGGUUAUUCAAGAACUGAAAUUGACCCGUUUUUUUAAAAUACUUUGAAUUUGGUUGUUCAAUAAAAAAAAAAAAAGUAAAGUCGUAUUUUUUUUAAAUUUCCGUUUUGACGUGAAAAAAACGGACAUAAUGAUAAUAACGGAAACUAUUUGGUAGAACCGUAAUAACGGCAACUAUAACGGAUAUGUAUGUAAUUUCCCCUAAAUUUUAAUGUUAGUUCCCUUGAGAAUGCGGGAUUUGUAGGUGUGGGAGGUGCUCUUAUUGGGGAAAAAGGAGGAAAUGAACUCGCAAAAAGUCUCAGGUAUUGAUUGACAGCGUUAUUGGACUUAACAUCAUACAGAACCAAGGUUAUUCCAUAAAGAUUGAGAAUAACUUUUGUUUCUCUAUGUUUUUCAAUAGUCAUGAAGCCCUAAUUUAUAGAGGGAAGAGAUUGGGCUGUUAUCCAACAUUCAACUUGAGGGGCUUAUUUUUUGGCAAAGCAUUAUCUAAUCUUGUAGUUUGGGAGUUCUUGUUGUUUAAGACACUAGUUUCAUCUAUUGAAAUGUUCUCUUUGUGAACGAUCCCAUUCAUUAUAUACACAAAAAAAAUCUGAAGAGAAAUGAAAAAGUAACCAAAAGGCCUCAUGUCAUCAUAUCUCCUUGAGCACUUCAAUGGUUAGAGCGAUACCAAUAUAUGAUAUAACGUAUAUCUCCCUUCAAAAUACUUUAUACUUCUGAAUAUGAAACUUAUUAUUAUCUUUUACAAUUCUAACGAGAGUCUUAAGUGACAGUGUAGUAUUAUUUUGGCAAUUAUAGGGUGGAAUCCAAUGCAUUGUUUAAAGGAAAAGUAUAUUUAAGGCAUGGAUUAUAUAGCCCCAGCUUAUAUCUCACCAAAUUGGUGUCUAAAACUCUGGAAAUGCAUCAUCUCACCUCAAAGAAUAUGGAUUUGAAAGAAAAGCAGAUUUCUACAUAUCAUCCAUUUUGAGUCUUCAUAGAUUUGCCAAAUCUACAUAUUUUUUAAAGCUUUCAUGUCCACCGAAAUGAUAAAAUUUUUGCUCUAUUGAAGGUACUUUUCCCAGUGGGGUUUCGAGGUGGGGCUGUGCACCUUGUUGUAUUACCCUUAUUAAGAAAGUAACGAGAUUGCGAAAGUGAUGGAGACAGAUUUUAGAUCCAAAAAAUCCAAGCGGCAGAUAGAUUUAGAUCCAAAACUUAAUUAUAUAUCUCAAGUACAACCAUCAUGAAUUUGGAUAAAAAAAUGAAUCUUGAACAUUUAAAAUGGUUACUUUUGUAUUAUUUUUUGAAAUUGUUUAUUUCAAUACUUCAAAGAUCAUUAGUUUUGGAUUGUAUUCAUAGCAUGAAAAUCAUGGGUUUCAGAUGAGAUCUAAAACAAUAGUUAUCAAAACCAGACUGAACCUGUGGUCCGACUGGUUAUACUGUAGGCCAGUGCCUUAGCUGAUCUAAUCCCGGUCUAGUUUAAGACAAACUAUGUUUGGUCGAAAGUCAGUCAAAACCAAUAUUUAAACUAUUUUAAGCUAUUAGGCUACCUAUUUUUAACUGGUUGCACCAGCUAAAUGAAGUUGGAAAAAAAAAUUUAAUACAUUUUAUAUUUAAAAAAUAUUACAUCUAUUUUUUCCUUUUUUCUAGAAUCCGAUCCAACCCAUUCAACUAGUAGAUAGAUAGGUUUUGACUGGACCAAAUGCUUGACCAGUUGAGUGGCCAAUCUAAUCCAAAUAACACUCCCUAAAACCCCCAUGGGCAUACAUGACUUGAGUCACCUAAUAACCUUCCCUCCCUAAAACCACCAUGCGCACUCACCUAAUAACCUUCCUUUUACAACUUAAAUUUCUCUCUCUCUCUCUCUCACUGUCUCUCUCUCUCUCCCCUAAGUUCUAAAUAUACAAUGCAAUCUCUCUCUCUUCCAAGUUAUCUAUAGGCGAUGAACUCUCUCUCCCUCUCUUAAAUUACACAUUCUCUCCAAACCGCGGGGCUCUGCAGACAAAUUUAUCCAUUAAAAUCUGCUGCCCUUCUAUGUGUCUUGGACGAGAUGGAGAAGGUUACGCUCACGUUUCAUGGCUUCCCACAUCUGAUACUGAAUAACCAUGGAGCCUCCUCACUCUCUCACUAUAAAAAACCAAAAUGGCAAAGUUUAACUUCAUUCAAGUAGAGAAAAACGAUGCUAUAACUUUUGAAUCACUAUCGAAUCACCCCUAUAUAUGGGGCGGUCCGAUAUUUGGAACAUCAAACUUCCUUAAAACUUGCAAAAAAAAAAAAAAAAAAAGAACAAAAAAAAAAAAGUUUAACAUUGAAAAAAAAAGAUAAUACAAAAAAAAAAGAAAGAGAUGGGAGUAAAAUUAGAGAAAUUUUAGACCAUACACAAACUCCAUAAAUUAUUUCCAGUCUGGACAUUGCAAAAAUUACGUGAGGACCAUAAAACGAAUGCAGAAAUGCCAUAGGGGUCAUAUUUGUAAACUUUUAUAGUUAAGUCAUUUUUCUUGUUUUUAUUUCAAUUUAGCCUCAACGUGAUGUUGCAAAAAUUGAACUUCUUUUAUUUUUUAUUUCUUGUUUUUAUAAAUUCUAGAGCAGUGCAAUGCUCCACCGCUUCAUUUUCAAAUAUAGACCGAUCCAAUAUUGGAACAAUGGUCUGCACCACAUUGAGAAUUUUUGUUAAGUAUAAAAUAGUUUGAUAUCUCCAAUAUACUUAGAUUAGACUACAUUGAGGCUUUUAUGCCCAAACUCCUUCGGCCGUUUGAUUUUCAAUUUGGAAAGAUUGAACAACACUUAAAACAACAAAAAAACAGCGGUCCGAUGUUGGAGCCAUCACACUAUUCUAUACCUUAAAAAUACUUAAAGUACGAGGACUCCGGUGUUGGAGAAAUCACACCACCCCAUAUCUAAAAUAUUUGUAAGUAUGGAGUGGUUCGAUGAUCCCAGGAGCAUCCCUGUACCAAAGUCCAUGAUUCAGACAUGUAAUUCGAAUAGAACCCAAGCCAGGGAGCAAAAUAACUUUUUGGGCAAAAUAAGAAAAACAAAUGGCAUCCUUUUUUUUUCUUUUGAAAAUCUCGAUUUUACGUUUCAAUUGUUAAUUUUUAUAUAAAAAAGAUUCUUAUCAAUCUUUAGAUCAUUAUUGAUCAAUGGAGGAACAAGAAUAUGAUUUUGGUUCGAUAAGAUACCAAAGUGGAUGAUUGACUCAUUCCAUACUAGGAAUAAUCGCGGGAAAUUAUUUGAGAACACGAUUUCUUAUUUCUCAAUGAUAUCCCACGAUCGCGACAAUUGGCUGAAUCCCGUGAAACCCCAAAGCCAAUGAUUCAGAUAUGCAAUUCGAAUAGAAUUCAAGAGGCAAAAUUAAAAUUUAAAAAAAAAACCAAAUUUUUUUUACAUAUUAUGGGCCAUGCAAUUAUUUAAAGGGUGCAGUUGGCAUACAAAUGCAUCCGUAGCUAUAGAGGUAAGGUGCACCUUCAAAUUUUAUCAUGUUAUAUAAUUUUGAUGUAAAAUAUUCUUGAGAUUAUCUCAAAAUCUAUUUUUAUAUCUAAUUAUCAAAUUUUAAAUUUUGAAAAUGAUUAAAAUCAAGUAGAUCCAUAAACAUAUGAAAAUCUUGAAAAUAGAUGGUGUAGAUAAUAUGUUGUAAAAUGCGCUAUUUUUUAUACUUAAAAUCUCUUUAGUUUACAGGGUCGUACAUCUCGAUGUCGAGAUGAUCAAUCAAAAGGUUUUUCUACAUUAAAACUAUGUUUUCUUAUGGAUUUUUGUGGUGCAUCCGCAGCUGUAAAAGUAAUGUUGCAACCUUAUAUAAACUUUUUCCUUAUUCAAAAUUUGUCAUUCCGGUGGGAACACAAUUUUUCCUCUCUCGAAGGAAAAGUGUAGCGUGCAUCAGGGGAUGCAAUUCUACAAAUACGUUCCUUGUGUACCUUAACAUCCAUCUCAAGGAGGAUGUAAAAAGGUGUUCGCCCACCAAAACCUACAAAUUAAUAAUCUGAAAAAAUGCAUCAAAAUUAUUAUUUUUUAGUUUUAAAAUUGAUUUUUUUAUUCAGCACAUUAUGGAUUGUCAACCCUUUAAAAUUGUUGUACCAAAAUUCAUCUACAACUAGAUGAGUGGACAAAUUCAUGAAAACCUUGUGAAAUAAGAAAUGUUUAUAUAAGGUUGCAACCUCAUGCUAAAGGUGUACCCUAUGCAGCUCUUUCUUUUAUUGCAACCUUUUUUUCUCUCUCUUAAAUUUUAAUAUCUCUAGAUGAAAGGGUAUUACUAUAAAAAAUAUAGGAAAAGUAAUAUGGGAUGGUUUAUAAAGAGAGUAUUUAUUUUUCUACAUGGAGUUCAUAAUCAUUAUCACUUAUUAGAUGUCAAAUUUAAUGACUUGAGAUGAGUCACGAAGUCUGAGAAUUUUUUUGGGAUUUUAUAUUUAUUCAAUGACACUCUUACAACUACAUGUUUUGAAAUUUAAGGAACAAGAAUGAUUGUGACCUCCAUUUACAAAAUAUAAAAGGUAUGGUUUGUAUAAGGUUACAACAUUAAACAAUUAAAUUAAGAUGUACCUUGAAAUUUUAUCAUAAAUAAAAUUCUGGUGUCAAAUUUCUUAAGAUGAUUUGAGAAACAAUAUUUACCUUUAAUUAUAAAAUUUUAAUCUCCAAAAAUGGUUCAGAUCAAGUAGAUCAAUAAAUACUAAAAAAUAGUGAAAAUGGAUGGUCAAGUUAUAAGAUAUAUUUUUUAGAGCUUAAAAUAUAUUUUUUUUUUAUAUUCAACUUUUUAUAGUAAUUCAUCUCGAUGUAGUGAUGAUCGAUUAAAGAAUUUUUUCGAUAUUUUUAUGAUGAAUUUACUAGUCCACCUUAAUUUUAUAUUUUAAGGUUGCAACCUUAUAUAAACUUUUUCACUUUUUCAUAUAGCCUCUUUGCAGACGAUCCCAAAAGGUGUGCCCCCUUCUAUGUGCUUUUGAUAAGGCAGGCAGAGUGUGUUUUGCUCGUGUCCUAUGUCUUCCCACACUUGGUACUGAAAAACCAUGGAGCCUCCUCAUUCUCUCACUACUUAGAGCUUAUUUUCUCUCUCUUAUUUGCUAGAGGAGAUGGAUGCCCUCAAAAUGCAGUCUUGGAUAUCUCUCUCAUCCAAUCUGAGGUAAGACACUCCCAUCGAAUUUUUACUUUCCCUCUGAAUUUUCUCGUUUUUCUCUGCCUAUGCUGAGCCAUCCUCCUGAAUUCCCCUCUCUCUCUUUCUCUCUCUGCUCCUUUGGUUUUACUCUCGUUUUGUGGCUUGUGUGAUUCAUUCCCAGGUUCGCUGUUCCUCUGUACUUAUCACUGGUUUUCUCUCAAUUCAUAAUACUUAGCUUUACUUUUGUUGCUUUUUUGCAGACAUUACUGUGUUUUUUCUGAUAUAAUUUUCAUAAAUUUACAUGGGUGCUGCUGUUUCUCUCACUACAAAUCGCUUCUCUCUCUUUUUUUUUUUUUCCUGAAAUGGGGUUUUCUACCCUUCUCUUCGGCAACACACUGCCACACCUUAACUUUUCGAAUGCAUUUCCUCUUUUAUGAGUUUGGGUUUGGCUGCUUGUGUAGAAACCCAAUUCAAAUGCCUUCAAAAUUCAGAAUAUAUGCAGCUGUUUGGGUGGUGGUUGUGUUUUUCCCUCCUCUUUUUGUAACAAUUCGAAAGAAGGUUCGAUUUUCAGUUCAAUUUGGGCUGGUGACAUUCUACAUGGGUCUGUUUCUUCAAGGAAAGAAAAAAACAGAAAAAAAAAACCAUGAUUGGAGUUCUUCUUAAGGUUUUGUUUGAUUCUUAAUAUGGCAUUUGCUUAUUUUUAUCAGGAAGCCAAGACCUAAUGGAACUCCCUUCCUCCACCAAAUUGAAACCUCUAAAAGAAGAGAGGUGGUUUGCCUUGGGAUGUUAGCACCAAGAAAGUUUAUGCAAAGGAGGAGAAAAAUAGAAGUUUUUAAGGAUGAGGCAGAUGAGGCCGACCAGAAGAAUUGGAGGAAAGUGAUGCGAGACAUUGAGGAGUCAGGUUCAGCUGUCUCAGUUCUCCGAAACCAAAGGUCGAGAGGUCAAGCUUUGCCGAAAGACCUGGUUUUGGGCACUCUAAUGAGAUUCAAGCAGCUUAAGAAGUGGGACCUUGUCAGUGAGGUGCUCUCUCUCUCUCUCUCUCACACACACACACACACACACACACACGCACACGCAUACACACACACAUACACACACACACGCAUGCUCAGCGCGUGCACAGGCAAGUCUACAAAGAAAUUAAGGUGAGUAUUAGUUGAAUUUCCAUUUGUUCCCAUUUAAGAAAGGAUGCAGUUUCAAUAAGGCCUAGGCUUUAUGAAAACAAGGUAAAGUUUUGCCUCGAAUCCUCAUCCAGAAAUGCUUUGGGCAUUGGAAAUAUCAUGAUGGCUCUAAAAUUGAUUUUUUUAGGGCGAAAUGAAUGGUCUAGAUAAUGUGUUACAAUAUACAUUAUUUUUAGGGCUUGAGAUCCUAAUUUUCUUUUACAACCAUAAUGGUAGAGGCCGAGAUGAUUGAUUUGAAGGUUUUCCAACGCCAAAACUUUACUUAUCUUGAUAGGGUAUCAAAACAUGUUCCUUUAAGAAAAAUUAGCAGUUCAAUGUAUGCAUUAUUACGUUAUUCCCCAUUUUUUUUGGUGUUUCAGAUCUCUAAGUAAUCACCAUGGCUAUUCUUUUUGAUAAAUCACUGGAGAAUUUGUGAUAGUUAGUAUAGUCUGAUUUUCACUUCCAUUUAGACUUUGUACCAACAUCAGUGAAAUUAACUGUCCAUGUAUUUAAUUACUUGGAAAUUGAUUUCUUUGUCUUCCGUAUCUCGCCUUUGAUCUGGGUUUAAGUUUUUUUGGGGGUAAUUGGAAUUUGUCCCUGAUAUAUAUGUACUGGCUUGGUGGUUCAUUUUAUUGUCAUUUGAGCAUUUUAUACAGACUCUUUAUCUUGAUUUUUGUAUGGACAUGGUUUGUGUUUUAAAAUUCAUAACAUUUGAACCCUUCUUUCUAUGUUAGAUUUUGGAAUGGCUAAGGUGCCAACAUUGGUGGGACUUCAAUGAGAUGGAUUUCCUAAUGCUUAUUACAGCUUAUGGAAAACUUAGGGAUUUCAAUAAAGCCGAGAGGGUCUUAAGAUAUAUGAACAAGAAGGGAUAUCCUCCCAAUGUGGGCUCUCACACCGCCGUUAUGGAAGCAUAUGGGAGAGCUGGUCAAUACAACAAGGCAGAAGCCAUAUUUCGAAGAAUGCAAUCUUCUGGCCCUGAACCCUCAGCCUUGACAUAUCAAAUAAUACUCAAGACUUUUGUUGAUGUAUGUAUGCUUGUCUUUGUACCAAUACUCACUCUUUAUCUUUCCUCAGGAAUUUUAUAAUCACCUAUAUGACUUUUUUUUCCUUCUUGUGAGAGCCCAUAUAUUAUUCUUAAUUGUAAUGAAGUAUAAAUUGCUAUUUAUUAGCAGAAUAUCUUUGAUUAAUUUUUCUAUGGGCUUUCAAGUUUAGCUUUGGAAUUACACCCCCACAUACUUACAAGCUUGGCCUCACUAAGUGUGAAGCCGAAUGAUCUUUUCAACUUUCUGUGAUCCCUCCUUACUUUUUCUAUGGUGCUUUUGAGGUUUUGGUUCUAUAUGGUAUAUCUUCUAAUUAAAUAGCCUGUGAAUGGGAUGUCGUAGGCUGGGAAGUUCAAAGAGGCGGAGGAGAUCUUUAAUAGCCUUCUGGACAAUGAGAAUGCACCACUGAAGCCUGAUCAAAAAAUGUACCACAUGAUGAUUUUCAUGUAUCGGAAAGCAGGAAACUAUGAGCAAGCUCGUAAAUUAUUUGCAGACAUGGGUGCUAAAGGAAUGACACAAUCUACGGUUACUUUUAACAGUUUAAUGUCCUUUGAGACCAAUUUCAAGGAGGCUUCGAAUACAUAUGACCAGGUAAUAUAUGGCUGAACGCACUCUCUGUCUCUCUCUCUCUCUCUCAAGCGUGUGUGGGCUCUCCCUCUCCUUCUCUCCUGCUCCCUCCAUCCCUCCAUCCCUCCCUCCCUCACUUCCUCCUUACAUAUAUAAAUAUGUGUGCGGGUGUUCAUUGUCAAUUUCAUACAGGAUGGCUACCUUUCCUAUAGCAUGCUACAGCUCAGUGCAGCUAAUACAUGUAUCAACCAGAUCUUUCGUUCUCAUUGUUGAUAUGAGAAUAAUUGAUAGGCUUUCAUGUUGUUUGCCAUUGCUUUUUUUGCAAUGCAAAUCUAUAAUCUUCUCUCCUGUAAUUGUUCUCUGAACAUAUAUUCUAUUAUGGUACUAGAACCAGUUUGAGUGUUGGGUUUUAUUUUGCCUAUCUAAUAUGCCUUUUGCUCCAAUAUCACUUCACUCUUGAUUUACCGAUCUAUCUCUACUUUAUUUGUCUAUGGAAGGCGCUUUAUUUGUCUAUGGAAGGCACUUUAUUGUCUCAAGCAAGCUCCAUAGACUUGGUUGAUCAGUUUCUUCUCAUGAACUGCCAACAAAAGGGGUUAAUUGUCUCAACGUUUUUAAGAACAAUAGGUUCUGAUGAAUCAUCCAGGCUAGCUUUCUUAUUUCUUUGAGCUUGUAGCUCUUCACUACAAUUACGUUAUCCUCACCAUUCAAUGGCAAUACGUAUGCAUCUUGUGUUCAACUUACAAAUAAUGAGGUGAUUGAUACACUUCUCUAGCUGAAUGUUCAGCAUGAACAGAGUAUGGUCUACCCUUUCUGAUACACUAUGUAUACAAGUGUUUGUUUUGUAGUGUUGUGUCGCUAUCUCAAAGAAUGGAUGUCUCUUAUGCAAGUCAUGUAAUCAGUUCCUUCAGUCACCUCAGAUAUCUCUCUUAAUGGUUGUCUUCUUAUCAUGUCAUGCAUAUGUCAAUGCAUGACAUAAGAGCUUCCUGUGUUGUUCUCUUAGGGCCUGUUUGGGUACCUGGAUUGGACUCUCCAGGAUAAGGCUAUUCAGGUAUUGGGCCCUUAUCCCUUGUUUGGGUAAUACAAUCCUGCGUGGAUAGCUGAAUCCCGGAUAGUGGCCGAUCUAUAUUUUUGGGCCAAAAACGUGGAGGAUGCUAUUCCACCAAAAUGGGUGAAUAGGGCCAUCCACGGUUUUUUGGAUUGGCCAAUCCCCGUCGGACCCGAAAUUUUACAAUUCAUUCAAGUUAAUUUGGAACAUUAAAGUCCACGAAUCACAAAGACAUCUUACUUAAAUAUAAAAUUAUAUAUUACAUAUUUAUAUUUAUGUUAUUAAUAUAUAUUUUACAUAUAAUAUAAUAAAUAUUUAUAUUAUCUAUNNNNNNNNNNNNNNNNNNNNNNNNNNNNNNNNNNNNNNNNNNNNNNNNNNNNNNNNNNNNNNNNNNNNNNNNNNNNNNNNNNNNNNNNNNNNNNNNNNNNNNNNNNNNNNNNNNNNNNNNNNNNNNNNNNNNNNNNNNNNNNNNNNNNNNNNNNNNNNNNNNNNNNNNNNNNNNNNNNNNNNNNNNNNNNNNNNNNNNNNNNNNNNNNNNNNNNNNNNNNNNNNNNNNNNNNNNNNNNNNNNNNNNNNNNNNNNNNNNNNNNNNNNNNNNNNNNNNNNNNNNNNNNNNNNNNNNNNNNNNNNNNNNNNNNNNNNNNNNNNNNNNNNNNNNNNNNNNNNNNNNNNNNNNNNNNNNNNNNNNNNNNNNNNNNNNNNNNNNNNNNNNNNNNNNNNNNNNNNNNNNNNNNNNNNNNNNNNNNNNNNNNNNNNNNNNNNNNNNNNNNNNNNNNNNNNNNNNNNNNNNNNNNNNNNNNNNNNNNNNNNNNNNNNNNNNNNNNNNNNNNNNNNNNNNNNNNNNNNNNNNNNNNNNNNNNNNNNNNNNNNNNNNNNNNNNNNNNNNNNNNNNNNNNNNNNNNNNNNNNNNNNNNNNNNNNNNNNNNNNNNNNNNNNNNNNNNNNNNNNNNNNNNNNNNNNNNNNNNNNNNNNGUCAAUUUUCAAGAUUUUCAAGUUUUCAUAGAUAUGUCGAUCCACACUAUUUUUGAAGCUUUGAACUUUAUAAAUAAAUAUGAACAUAUGUUUUAAGGCUAUGACAAAGAUUUCCAAUUAUGAAACCACAUUUCUCGACACUAUUUGAAGGGAGGCUCUAAUUUGAUUGUUUAGAGCCUAUGCUCUAUACAAACCACGCCCAUAAUGCAUACUAUAGUAUAUAAAUAUCAUAUAUUACAUAUAUUAAAAAUAAUACAAUUACAUUGAUAAAAUAAAUAUAAAUAUAUAACACAUAUAAUAUGAUACAAAUUAUAAUAUAUAUAUAUAUAUAUAUUAUAUAAUAUACUAUUAUAUAUUUAUCUUAUAAUGUAUUAUUGUACUAUAUUGUAUUAUUGUUCUAUAGUAUAUACAUUAUAUAAUAUUUAUAACAUAUUUAUGUAUUAUACUAUAAUAUUAUAUAUUUCCUCUAAUGUUAUAAACUAUAGUAUAAUAUAAAAUAAUAUAUUAUAUACAUAGAAUAUUAUUAAUAUAUAAAUAAUAAAAUAUUAUUUAUAAAUUAUAUAUUAAUUAUUAUUGCAUUAUAAUUUAUAUAUUAAGUAUAUAAUUUAUAUGUAAAUAAAAUAUUAUAAUAAUAUAUGAAAAAUUGUUUCAUGCAGGCUGGACCACAUUUCUACAUAUGCGGUCCAAAAGUGUAAAGCAUAGAAACUAACACUCCAAAUGUUUUCUUAAUAAAAUUAUUAUUUCUAGAUUUUAAAAUUUAUGUAUUUUUCAUAUUCACGAUCUCCAUGUUAGAGAUUACAUGUCCUUAAAAAUUAAGUCCAAAAAUCCAUCUCAAAAAAGAUUUUCUACAUAUACAGUCCAGAAGUGUAAAGCAUCCCUCUUAAAGAUGGAUGCAAGUAGGUGGUCCAUCUAAAAACAAUAGAAACUAACAGUCCAAAUGUUUUCUUAAUAAAAUUAUUAUUUCUAGCUUUUAAAAUUUAUUUAUUUUUCAUAUUCAUGAUCUCCAUGAUAGAGAUUACAUGUUCUUAAAAAUUAAGUCCAAAAAUCCAUCUCAAAAAAAUAUUUUUAAGAGGCUUUCUACAUGUGCAGGCUUGGCCCACAUGCUAACCAGGUCCAUAAUAUAUUAUAUUAUAAAUUAUGAAUAGUGAAUGGUGAAUAUUGUGUCCACAUGUGAAAACAAGUGCACAGGGAAUGUUUCCCCACCUCAAUAGGUGUUUUAUUUUACAAUGGAUUAGACCAUUUCAUGGUAAAAGUUUUUACCAUGGUAUUUUAUUUGCAUAUGCAUUUGUACGAACCUAACGUAUUAAAUGCGAUUUACAUAUGUAAAUAUUUCUCAAGGAAUACUUUAUGCACAAACCAAACGUACCCUCCUAAUAGAAUCUUUGGAAUGUAGGAUAUCUAUACAUCAGGAUACAAUGAAAGGAAUACGAAAAAAAAUAAGGAUUGCAUCUUAGUUAAGAAAUAAUAUUGAAGUUUGGAAUCAAUGGGAGAAGUUAAUCAGUAUAAAAUUAAAUGUAGGGUAAUAACAUAAAAAUUGCAAUUGAAUAUCCAUGGAUUCACAUCUUCCAAGCAAUCCAAAUAGUGGACAUGCAUAUUCCAUAUUUCUUAUUAGAUGCUAUCCAAACGGCAGACACCCCUAUCCCAGGGACAGACCAAUUCUAGGAUAACCCAAUUCCAGGAGAAGCCUAUUCCCAGGAUAGGCUUCUCCAGGUACCAAUGUUCGCAAAAUCGAACCGGAACGAUUAACUGGACAAGGGCCCGGAAGUGAUUUAACCGGCCUAACCGGUAAACCGGCUGAUUCAACCGCUCUAACCGGGCAAGUUCAGAACAAUAAAAAAAGUGUUGAAAAAAAUAGAAAAGAUACAAAAAAAAUACCUACUAAAAUAUGAAAAGCAUAUAAAGAAUGUGAUUGAAACAAAACACACUCAAAUGAAGUUGAAAAUUAAUGAAAAAAAUGGAUUUUAACGAAUCUAUUUGUGCUUAGGGGUAUUUUUAAAAUUUUUUGAAAAAGAUGGGAAAUAUAAAAGUGAGUGUUAAUGCCCAAAACAAUUUUUAAUCUUUACCAUAAUGUAAAGAAUAUUAAAAUAGUGUUACCAACUCUUUUUUUUUAAAAGAAAAUGAAGAAAAAAUUAAGUUAUAUAUAAUAUAGGCCCUUCUUUUUGUCAACCAAGUAGUAAAUGGCGUAUUGGUUAAUGCGCCUAAUAUUAAAGGGCCUCUUUAUAAGAGGUUUCUAGUUCGAUUCCGGUGGGCAGGUAAUUUUUUUGAACUCUUUUGAAGAACUCUUUUGAAGUCCAACGAAAUGAAGUCUUAAAAAAAAAAAGCGGCGGAAUUGAACCGUGAUUGAGAUAAAACUUAAUCGUCAAAGUUAACCAGUAAACCAUUCUGAUAUAUCUGAUAUGAAUUUGAAGUAGUAUUCUAUUUAAAGUUUAAAAUACCGGUUGAUGACCAAAACUGCCCAAAGCCGAAACCGGCCAAUGGCUGGUUUCGAUCUAACCGGGCGGUUAGCGAUUAGAUUGGCCGGUUUUGCGAACACUGCCAAGUACCCAAACGGGCCCUUAAGAUCUUCACUUGACAGCCUAUGCAUAUUUUGAUUGGACAACAACCCAGAUAGAAGGGAAUCCACAACGCGGUACUGUCAUUUAUUGUCAGAUUCACUUGUUUCUUGGUUAUCAAGAAAAGAAUAAUAAGUCCAAUCCCAAGAUGGGGUAUAGAUCCUUGUCAGCUGCCUCUAGAGAGCUUGUGUGGCCCCAAGCUUUAGGUCCAUCUAGUGUUUGAGUUUCUAGCUUUUAGAUCUUCAUGAGAGAGAUAAAUGUGCUAUUCUUAUCGCCUCACAUCUUGAAUGACAAAUGAAACUCAUGUCGGUAAUUUGUGCUUCAUUUUGAGACAGACCAGUUUUACUGGUAUCAUAUUUUUCAGAAUGAAUAGCUGACAUGUUUAUCAAGUCUCUAACCAUAUCCAUAAUAGGCAUAAUUACCUUGUGAAUAAACUGUCUUGCAUCUACGGAUGCUUAUGUAUGAGGGUGGGUGUCAUGAGCACUUGCAUAUAUGUUGCAUCUGUAAUCAGGGGCAGUUUGGCUCAUCAUCAUCAUCAUAGCUUUUUUCCAAUUAAUUAGGGUCAGCUACAAGAAUCUUGGUCCGCCAUUUUGCUCUAUUAAAGGCCAUACCCUCAGUGAGGCCAUAAGCCCUCAAAUGUUUUCAGACUACUUCCAACCAUGUCCUUUUAGGUCUACCCCUUGCCGUUUUCAGUCCUUCCACUUGAAUUAACUCGCACCUCCUAACAGGUGUUGUACUUGGUCGGUGCCACACAUGGCCAGCCUACCUAAGCCUACUCUCUCUUAUCUUAUCUCCUAUUGGUGCCACACCUAAAUUCUCUCGAAUGGAUUCAUUUCGAAUUCAAUCCCUUCUUCUCUUACCACUCAUCCAUCUCGAUAUCGUCAUCUUUGCUACACUCAUUCUCUGGGUUUAUUGUUUUUUGUCCGCCCAACAUUUCGCCCCAUAGAGCAAAGCCGGUCUCACAACUGUGCUAUAGAACUUGCCCUUCAGCUUCAUUGGUAUGCGGCGAUCACAUAAAAUUCCAAUUGCAUAUCUCCACUCCGCCCACCCAACUCUAAUUCUAUGUGCGACAUCUUCCUCGAUAUCUCCAUUUUCCUGGAUUAUCGACCCAAGAUAUUGAAAGUGCAGUCUUUUUUGUACUUCCUGGCCGUUAGUCUUAACUACUUCCUCGUCUCUACUCCUAUUAUUACUAAACUUGCAUUCCAUAUACUCUGUCUUAGUCCAGCUAAUUUUAAGACCUUUGGAUUUUAGAGUAUCCCUCCAAAGUUCUAACUUUGUGUUGAUGUUGUUUCGAGUCUCAUCGAUCAAAACUAUGCAAUUUGCGAACAACAUGCACCACAGUACCUCAUCCUGUAGGUGCCUAGUUAAAUCGUCCAUAACUAAGACAAAGGGAUACGGGCUCAAUGCUCACCCUUGAUGUCGACCUAUUGUUACUGAAAACUCACUCAUCUCUCCACCAGUUGUUCGUAUACUAGUUAGCGCUUCAUCGUACAUAUUUUUCACCAAGCAAUGUCGUGUCUAGAGACUCCUUUCUUUUCUGACACCCGCCAAAUCAAAUCUCGAGGUAUUCUAUCAUAAGCUUUCUCUAGAUAAAUAAAGACCAUGUGGAGGUUUUGUCCCUUUGCCCUAAAUCAGGAGCGGAUUGGCUAUCAUUCUUAAUUGCUUUGUGUGUGAAGUGUGGAACUUAUAUGGGGCAUCUUAAGCAUUUUGGGCUUAUGUACCAAUAUAAGGGAAAAAAGAUCAAGGCUUCAACACAUUCACAAAAAACAAAAUAACGUGCUGUAAAAUUGUGAUCCAUCAAUCCUAGUCAUGCUUAAUUAUGGAUUUACUGCCAUUUCACUAGUUUUCCUGGUAAUGUUCUAUUGACACAUCCUAGUAAUGCUUUUUUGUGGUUAACAAGUAUAUCCUUAUAUCUUUUUAGAUGCAUAUCUAUGAAUAGCCACUAAUGUUUUAUUGAGAUAUUUUGAUUUAUUGCUUAGAGUAAGAAUUCAUGGCCUAAUUCUUAAGUAAAAUAUGUGACCAUCAGAUGCAAAGAGCUGGCCUUCAGCCUGAUGUUGCAAGUUAUUCACUGCUGAUAAGUACUUAUGCAAAGGCCAGAAGGGAAGAUGAAGCACUUGCGGUAUUUGAGGAGAUGUUGGAUGCCGGUGUGAGGUUGGUAGUUCUAUAGUUUUAUUAGUUUGUUAGUUAUUUGUAUUUUGUUUUUUAUUUCUGAUUGAUUGGCUGUUUUCUCUCUCUCUCUCUCUCUAAAUUUGUCUUGGUGUGCAUGUGUUGGUAGAUAGAAUAGAUGAUGUGUGUGUGUUAGAGAGAGCGAGAGAGAGAUUUUACGAUUUUGCACCUGAUUGAAAUGUUACCAUUUGUCCAUUGUUAUCUUCUCAGGCCUACUCGUAAAGCAUAUAAUAUUCUACUUGACGCAUUCGCCUUAACUGGGAUGGUAGAGGAGGCUAGGACUGCGUUCAAAAGCAUGAGAAGAGACAAGUAAUCUUUUCUUCUCAUUUCAUCUCUGUUUUGGGUGGGCAUCAAUCCAUGAUUGUUUGACCCUAUUGCUUCUCUCUCUCUCUCUCUCUCUCUCUAGGUGCCACCCUGAUCUAUGUUCGUAUACCACCAUGUUAGCUGCAUAUGUGAAUGCAUCUGAUAUGGACGGAGCAGAGAAGUUCUUUGUGAGAAUGAAGAGAGAUGGUUUUGAGCCCAACGUCGUGACAUAUGGUACACUCAUGAAAGGUUAUGCCAAAGUGAACAAUCUAGAGAAGAUGAUGGGUAUAUAUGAUGAGAUGAGGAUGCAUGGGAUCAAGGCAAAUGUGACAAUCUUUACAAUUCUCAUGGAUGCUCAUGGCAAGCAAGAUUUUGGAAGUGGUAUUGUUUGGUACAAGGAGAUGCAGUCCAAUGGGUGCAUGCCUGACCAAAAAGCAAAGAAUAUCCUCUUGUCUCUGGAAAAACACCAGAGGAACAAAAGGAAGCAAAGGAACUGAUGAGUGAUGCCAUGAAAGAACACGUGGAUGGAACGGUUAAUGAAUUGCAUCUUGUGUCGGAUGAUGAUGAUGAUGAUGAUAAUGGCAAUGGUGAUGGUGGUGGUGAUGAUGAUGACGAUGAUGAUGACGACGACGACGACAUUGCAGCAGAAUAUCCUUUUGUGGGAGACUUUGAAAAAGUUUCACAAGAAUAGAGGCAACAACUUUCCAUAGUUCCUGUUGAUGCUAAAAGGCGAGAAUCUCUAUGGUAUAGCAGAGUUUGAUUUGAACUAGUUUCCAUGUAACAUAGUCACAAACUGAUUUUCCCGAGGGAAAAGUUUAUAUAGAGCCGAGGCUCUAAACAAUCAAAUUUGUGCCUACCUCAAAAAGUUCACUAGAAGAGAUUGUUUUGAUGCCCAAAUAUCUUCAAAUUGACAUCUCGACAUCAAGAUGUAUGGACAUGAUAAAAAAAAAUGGAUUUUCAGUUUCGGAAAUAGUGUAUUUUAUAACGCAUUUUUAGACCGUCAAUUUUCAAGAUUUCAUAGAUUUGUCGAUCUAUACUAUUUUUGAAGCUUUGAACUUUAUAAAUAAAUAUGAAAAUAUAUUUUAAGGCUAUCACAAAGAUUUCCAGUAGUAAAACAACAUUUCUCGACACUAUUUGAAGGUAGGCUCUAAUGUGAUUGUUUAGAGCUUAGGCUCUAUACAAACCUCACCCUUUUCUUGAUAUCUUCAGCUAUUCACCUUUUCNNNNNNNNNNNNNNNNNNNNNNNNNNNNNNNNNNNNNNNNNNNNNNNNNNNNNNNNNNNNNNNNNNNNNNNNNNNNNNNNNNNNNNNNNNNNNNNNNNNNNNNNNNNNNNNNNNNNNNNNNNNNNNNNNNNNNNNNNNNNNNNNNNNNNNNNNNNNNNNNNNNNNNNNNNNNNNNNNNNNNNNNNNNNNNNNNNNNNNNNNNNNNNNNNNNNNNNNNNNNNNNNNNNNNNNNNNNNNNNNNNNNNNNNNNNNNNNNNNNNNNNNNNNNNNNNNNNNNNNNNNNNNNNNNNNNNNNNNNNNNNNNNNNNNNNNNNNNNNNNNNNNNNNNNNNNNNNNNNNNNNNNNNNNNNNNNNNNNNNNNNNNNNNNNNNNNNNNNNNNNNNNNNNNNNNNNNNNNNNNNNNNNNNNNNNNNNNNNNNNNNNNNNNNNNNNNNNNNNNNNNNNNNNNNNNNNNNNNNNNNNNNNNNNNNNNNNNNNNNNNNNNNNNNNNNNNNNNNNNNNNNNNNNNNNNNNNNNNNNNNNNNNNNNNNNNNNNNNNNNNNNNNNNNNNNNNNNNNNNNNNNNNNNNNNNNNNNNNNNNNNNNNNNNNNNNNNNNNNNNNNNNNNNNNNNNNNNNNNNNNNNNNNNNNNNNNNNNNNNNNNNNNNNNNNNNNNNNNNNNNNNNNNNNNNNNNNNNNNNNNNNNNNNNNNNNNNNNNNNNNNNNNNNNNNNNNNNNNNNNNNNNNNNNNNNNNNNNNNNNNNNNNNNNNNNNNNNNNNNNNNNNNNNNNNNNNNNNNNNNNNNNNNNNNNNNNNNNNNNNNNNNNNNNNNNNNNNNNNNNNNNNNNNNNNNNNNNNNNNNNNNNNNNNNNNNNNNNNNNNNNNNNNNNNNNNNNNNNNNNNNNNNNNNNNNNNNNNNNNNNNNNNNNNNNNNNNNNNNNNNNNNNNNNNNNNNNNNNNNNNNNNNNNNNNNNNNNNNNNNNNNNNNNNNNNNNNNNNNNNNNNNNNNNNNNNNNNNNNNNNNNNNNNNNNNNNNNNNNNNNNNNNNNNNNNNNNNNNNNNNNNNNNNNNNNNNNNNNNNNNNNNNNNNNNNNNNNNNNNNNNNNNNNNNNNNNNNNNNNNNNNNNNNNNNNNNNNNNNNNNNNNNNNCAUAUUCAUGUGCCUUUUAGAUACCUAAGUGAAGUAUUUCUCAUUUUGAAGCCAGUACUUGCUGCUCAUCUGGAGUCUCAACACUUCCUUUGAAGUCUGGUACUUUAAGAGAAGUAUUAGGGAAGUGUUGAUUCUAUAUCUUAAAACGUUUGAUGAAGGUUUAACACCUAAAUCAAGUAUGCAAAACCUUAUCAGAGGUCUAGGGUUUAAAAACUGAAGGCUAUAUCAAAAUCAAAUCAUAUAAUCUAAUACAUUUUCUCUUUACAUCUAGAUCAUUCAAUAUAACUUUGGAUUGUAUUCUAUGUACUUCACAUAUUAAGCAAUCCAUUUUUUCUGAUACCUACAUCAUUCAAAAUCACUUUGAUUAUCCUUGAAGCAAAGUUUACAUGAAAAAAAAUAGUGAAAAAUCAUAAUCUAGGAUUACAUGAAAAAAAUGGUGAAAAAACAUAAUUUAGGAUUACAUGAAAAAAAUGGGGAAAAAAAAAAAACAUAAUUUAGGAAUCCUCUCUAACAUCAUGUAGAAUAUCAAUCUUUGAAUCAUAUCCUAUAGACUUCAAUGACUGUGUUAACCCACUUAACACUUCAAAGAUCUCAAUUGAUCUUGGGUUCCUCUUGUCUGAAGAGUAAAACUUAGCAACACUACCAUUCACCUCAAUUGAACUCCACCCUGGUAUCUUUUGAAUCCCUCUCUCUAUCAUCACCACCUUCAUUCUCGCCGCCUCUUUCCGCCUGCCUGCUGCCGCAAAAAUUUUAGAUAACAACUCAUAAUUUGCAGGGUUUGUAGGCUCUAUCUUAAUAAGUUACUCUAUAGCAUAUUCAGCCACCAUUACAUUACCAAAUGUGCGACAAGCUCCAUGUAAUGAGCUCCAAACUACACUAUCCUCUUCAAUAGGCAUCCUUUUUAUCAACUCCAGUGCCUCUUCAAUCCUUCCGGCUCGCCCCAGAAGAUCAACCAUGCAUCCAUAAUGCUCAAUUGUAGGAGUAUUAUGGCAGUCAUGGGUCAUAGAAUGGAAGUUUCUAGAGCCUUCAUCAACCAAACCAGCAUGUGUACAUGCACAUAAGACCCCCACAAAGGUAAUGCCAUCUAGCCUUGCUCUCUCCUCUCUCAUCCUUCUAAAGAUUGCUAAUGCUUGCAGGCCAUGGCCAUGCAUUGCGAGCCCACCGAUCAUGACAUUCCAAGUGACCUCUCUCUGUCUCUCUCUCUUAUCUCCGCAAACACACAAACCACUUUCUCUAUACACCCGCACUUUAAAUACAUAUCGAUCAAUCCAUUAGAAAUGAGUGAUUUCCCCUUAAAUCCAUUAUUGUUAGCAUAAUUAAAGAUCCAUUCACCCAUCUCCAGAGCUCCUAAUCUAGCAGAAGCUGACAACAUAAUCACCAGAGUCGCAUUGUUAGGCUUUGCAUUCAACCUUAGCAUCUCUCUAAACGUUUCCAAAACCUCACAGUGAAACCACCAUGUGCAUAGCCCCCAAGUAUGGCGUUCCAAGAAAACAGUCAUCUCUCCGAAAGCCUUUAAAGGUGACCCCAAAUCUCCAUUAUCAACAUAACCCACCAAAAGUGUGUUCCAAGAAAUUACAUCUUUCUCCACCAUUGAAACAAGAAGCUCUCGAGCCACACACGUCCCCCAAUUUUGCAUAACCCCCAACCAUGAUAUUUGAAGAGAUCACAUCAUUCUCAGGCACAAUAUCAUAAAAGUAACGAGCUGAUACCAAAUCAUUAGAGAGUAUAUAGCCCUGUAUAAUUGAGGUCCAAGAAACCACAUUUCUUUGAGGCAUUUGAUCAAACACCCAAUGAGCCGACAAAAUUCUUCCACAAUUUGAGUACAUAUCAAUCAAUGCCGUGCCCACAAAAAAGUUAUCUUCAAGUCCGGUCUUAACAAUUAUACAAUGAAUCCAUUCUCCUUCUUAAUUUAAUUUAGCACAGGCUCUCAUAAUGAAAGAAUUUAGCACAUGCUCUCAGAAUGAAAGAAUUUAGCACAUGCUCUCAGAAUGAAAGGGAAGGUGAAAUUAUUAGGUCCAACAUCUCUAGAAUGCAUGUUUUUGUACAACCCUAGUGUUUCCAAGAAAUAUCCAUUCUCUACCUAUUCUUUGAACAUAGUGUUAAAGAGGACCACAUUUGGUUGAAGCAUCUUGUUGAAGAGUGGGCGUGUGUAAUCAAUGCUAUUUUUAAUGGCACAAAAAGCGACGAUUUUCGGGGGUAAGAAGCAAUUUUGAGAGAGAUUUUCAGUGAAAAUUGGGGCAUGAAUCUGGUAGAGUUGCUUAAGGGUGCUACAUCUGUGCAAGAGAGAGGUGAGUCUCUGUUCUAUGAGCCUACCAUGUGAGAGCUCAGCUAGUUUUAAAAUGCUCUUCCCUAUUUUAGCAGAGGUGGAGUAAUUGAGAGGAGGUAAUGCCUUAUAGAGUGAAAUUUCCUCAGGAUUAGGUAGUGGAAAUACCCAUAAUCAAUGAUAAAGCCGUAGGGUGGGGUCAGGGUCCACUUAACCUGGACCCUACAAGAUACCUAAAGAGUUAGGUUCAAGUCCUAAAAGGUCUGACUGCGUUGUUAUGUUGGAGCAAUUUGUGUCAACCAAAACUCAGCAAACAUUUUAGUUGGAGCCCCAAUUUUAAAGUCCGGGUUUCCAUGAAGCUUGCAAUUUUGAAUGGACGGUUAAGAUUCUCCACGAUAGAGGGAAUCUCAAAUGGACCGUAAGGAUGUAAAAGGUUUGGGUAGCCAAGUGUGCGGGUUCGAGUACUAACGGCCACUUUGUGCAUAAAAAGCCAAAGGUUAGGAGUGACUCCAGCUCACCCCUCCUAGGAUUUUGUGUAGGAGGGACCAACAUAGAGUUACGGCUUUUUUUUUCUUUUUUUUUUAAGCUUUCUAUGCUUCCCUUACAAUAUAAAACUUAUAUAUUUUCUUUUAUCCCACUGUCCAUUCUGAAUGGACGGCUAGGAUGGCUCCAAUCGUAAUGUCACGUUUUGAUCUGAUAGGUCAAAAUAGAAUCUCAAAAUACUUUCAAUCACCUAUGCAAUAAAGCAUAUUGUGUGUUAGGUUUUGCACUGCCUUAUGCCCGCACCUCCCCCCACCAUGCGUCUCUCUCUUAACAACCUUUCCCUCUCUCUACAAAAGUAUCUUCUACUAAUAACUCUAUUAAAAUUCUUUCUUUCUCUCUAUAUUAAGUAAUUGUAAAUAAAUAAUUAUAGUAAAAUUCUCUCUCUUUCUCUGGUAAUAAUCUAUUCCAUUAAAUUUGUUUUAUAUAAUUUUUUAAAAAAAUCAAAACUCCUGAAUUAAUAUAAUAAAAAUAAAUAAAUUAAAUUAGAGAGAUUUAUUUUAUUGUCAUGUUGUAUUUUAAACUUUAUUUUGAUUAUAAAAUAAAUUUAAUAAACAACAUACAUUCAUGAUGCGAUGAGUUCUCAAUAUUUUCAUAUUUUUUACACAAUAAUAAUGUCACUAUUUCUUUUAGAAACUUACAAAAUUAAAUUUUUGAGAAAUUAUAAUAUAUAUUUUUUUAAAACCUCCUAUAUGAAAGUGUUUUAUAUUAUUUUUUAUAUGAAAAAUUGUUUAUCUAAUUUUAUAAUAUGGAAGUGUUUUUCUAAUUUUUUAAAAUUAUAUAAAUGUAAUGUUAUAAUAUUAUGUUAUAAUUAAUAAUUAUACAGACAUCCAGACAUGAAAUCAUCGUCUCAAUAUUCACCUACUUUUACAAAGUAAUGAAAGUACAUACAACAUCACUCCUAAUUUCUUAGAAACUAAAAAACAUUAUUUUAAAAAGUUAUAUUGAUUUUUUGAAAAAAAAAAUGAAACAAAAAUUGUUGAUUCAGCCGAUUUUCCAAUCCAAUCCACCCAUCCGACACAGAUAUGGGUGAGACUGGUUGGUGUUACCGAUCCAUUUCUUAAACAUUGUUAGGAAAUAUCAAAUUCCUUGAUACGUAAUGGAAGUAGGCAGAGACUUCGGAUAAAUAGCAUAUGGAAAGAUAUUGAAAUCUCAUUCAUUAUCUGCCUUCUCUUUUUAGAAUUAGGUACUUAACCAAUUUUUAUCUCUUUUAUUUUUAUUUUUAUUUUUAUUUUUUUAUUAUUAUUAUUUUUACUGUGAUACUUAUGGGGAGCCUCAUAAUUAGGGCUGCUAACCGGCCAGCCCUAGCCUCCGCCCGAGUCCCAAUAGGGCCGGCCGAGGCCAUAACCGAGCGAAACCAAGAAGGCCAGGGCCAAGGCUCUUCCUAAAAACAAAAAAACUAAAAAAAGAGGGGCGGGUAGGGCCGCACCGGCCUUGGCCCAAGUCCUACCUUCUGGCCGUGUUGCCCAGGCCCAGGCCCUAGUUUUUUUAGGGCCAUACUGUGAUGAAUUAAGUUUGCGCAACAAUUAUUACUUUCAGCAAUAAAACUUUUCGUCAUAGAAUAAAUAAAAAUUCAAUUUAUUAGAUAUUUAAAUGACCCAUGCUAAUUCAGACCAAGUUAAGUUGGAUUAAUGCAAUUACAUUGGACAACAUUUUAAAAAUUCAGAGCAGGUACCAACAUCGAACGCCCAUUUGCUCAGUCAAUGUAUUAAUUAUUAACUGUAGACAUAUUAAUUCUAAUAUUUAAGAAAACCAUAUGCUGGCUCAUUUAAAUACCAAUGGGCCUCGCUCAUGAUAUCAUUCCCAUAUCUUAGGAGUGGCAAAGCGCUGGGCGAUCGGGCCGGGACCAUAGAAGUCGGCCAGGGCCUGGGCUGGAUGUGACGAACACGAAGUUGCUAACUAACUGUUUGAAACCGAAAUGCUACAAUGUGCGUGCGGGUGCGCGCGCGCACACAUACACACACACAUAUAGCGUGCGGGUGCGCGCGCGCACACAUACACACACACACACACAUAUAUAUAUAUAUAUAUAUAUGGAAAAAGCUGGGAUUAGCCCACUGGUUCAUAUGAACAUAUGAGCCCAACGGCCCAUAUUAAAUCGGGACCGAUCUGGCUAUCACAUGUGUCUGAUAGUGUUUGAAUUUUAUUUUAUUUUUAUAAAUCUAAACCAUUUGAAAUUUUAGGCACGUGUUUAUCAAAACUAAGUAAAUCUUCGACAAAUAUCAAAAAAAAAUUUUACAUGAAAUAAAUCUGAGCCAUUGGGUGUUUAUUGUAGCAGUACACACAUGGGCAUACAUGGAUUUUUUUCCUAUAUAUAUGGGAGUGGAUUAUGUACGCUCAGUCUUUGACCGCUACAGUAAAUGCCAAAUGGCUUAGAUUGAAUCUAGACCGAUCUGACGGUCACGACCUCAUUUCGUAUUUCGUAUUUUAAUUUUAAUUUUGUUUUCUAUAAAUCCAAAUCACUUGAAAUUUUAGGCGUGUGUUUUUCUUAUCAAAGCGCACCUAACAAAAUAAAAUAAAAUAAAAAUUUGCAAAAACAUUUGACCAAAAUACCCCCAAAACUUUUUGGGGGUAUUUUGAUCAAUUUAUUUUGAUAUUUUUCGUAAAUUCGCCUGUUUUUGAAGAACACGCACAUAAAAUUUCAAGUGAUUUGGAUUUAUAAAAAAAUUAAAAAAUUAAAAUUCAAACACUUCAGCAGUACGCCCAUGGGCAUACAUAAUCUUUUUCCUAUAUAUAUCUAUAAUUUUGCAGAAUUUAUCAAAAUGCACCUGAAAGGUUUAUUAUUUAACACUUUUCCAUUUUUACUUAAUUUCAGAAAGCACAUCACUAUCAAAAUUCACAUAAUUAUGAGUUAGAAUAAUUGAAAAAUGAGAAAAUCGUUAAAUAGUUAUUAGGUGUAUUUUGAUAAAUUUCUCUAAAUGUUUAAAUUACAUGUGAACAUUAUUCUAUACUCCAAAAUCCACAAAAUUUAGUAGAAAUCUUCCAAAUUUUGAACAAAUUUAUGGCUCUAACUGCGGCAUUCUUCGGAGAAAAAAAAAACACAAACAGUUGGGCAUGGCGAGCGCUGUACAAACAGUAUGCGGGCAAGCUUAUGGUGCGUAAAAAUACAGCAUGUUGGGGAUCAUAUGCCAAAAGGCCAUGAUCAUCAUGCUCCUGGCCUCUUUCGUGCUCUGCUUCCUCUACUGGUUCUCCGGGUCGGUGUUGAUAGCCAUAGGCCAAGCAGAGGACAUUGCAGCUCAAGGUCAGAUACUUGCUAGAGGUCUCAUCCCUCAGCUCUUUGCAUUUGCUCUGAACUGUCCCAUGCAAAGAUUCUUACAGGCUCGAUAUGUUAGUAGUGGGAAUGGAGGGUGGGUAUUUUAGUACUGGGAAUGGAGGGUGUGGGACAUUAUGUCUAGGCAUUNNNNNNNNNNNNNNNNNNNNNNNNNNNNNNNNNNNNNNNNNNNNNNNNNNNNNNNNNNNNNNNNNNNNNNNNNNNNNNNNNNNNNNNNNNNNNNNNNNNNNNNNNNNNNNNNNNNNNNNNNNNNNNNNNNNNNNNNNNNNNNNNNNNNNNNNNNNNNNNNNNNNNNNNNNNNNNNNNNNNNNNNNNNNNNNNNNNNNNNNNNNNNNNNNNNNNNNNNNNNNNNNNNNNNNNNNNNNNNNNNNNNNNNNNNNNNNNNNNNNNNNNNNNNNNNNNNNNNNNNNNNNNNNNNNNNNNNNNNNNNNNNNNNNNNNNNNNNNNNNNNNNNNNNNNNNNNNNNNNNNNNNNNNNNNNNNNNNNNNNNNNNNNNNNNNNNNNNNNNNNNNNNNNNNNNNNNNNNNNNNNNNNNNNNNNNNNNNNNNNNNNNNNNNNNNNNNNNNNNNNNNNNNNNNNNNNNNNNNNNNNNNNNNNNNNNNNNNNNNNNNNNNNNNNNNNNNNNNNNNNNNNNNNNNNNNNNNNNNNNNNNNNNNNNNNNNNNNNNNNNNNNNNNNNNNNNNNNNNNNNNNNNNNNNNNNNNNNNNNNNNNNNNNNNNNNNNNNNNNNNNNNNNNNNNNNNNNNNNNNNNNNNNNNNNNNNNNNNNNNNNNNNNNNNNNNNNNNNNNNNNNNNNNNNNNNNNNNNNNNNNNNNNNNNNNNNNNNNNNNNNNNNNNNNNNNNNNNNNNNNNNNNNNNNNNNNNNNNNNNNNNNNNNNNNNNNNNNNNNNNNNNNNNNNNNNNNNNNNNNNNNNNNNNNNNNNNNNNNNNNNNNNNNNNNNNNNNNNNNNNNNNNNNNNNNNNNNNNNNNNNNNNNNNNNNNNNNNNNNNNNNNNNNNNNNNNNNNNNNCUCAUCUUAUCUCCUAUUACUGUCACACCUAAAUUCUCUCUAAUGGAUUCAUUCUGAAUUUUAUCCCUUUUUGUCUUGCUACUCAUCCAUCUCAACAUCAUCAUCUCCGCUGCACUCAUUCUAUGGGUAUAUUAUUUUUUGUUCGCCCAACAUUCUGCCCUACAUAGCAAAGGUGGUCUCACAGUUGUUCUAUAGAACUUGCCCUUCUGCUUCAUUCGUAUAAUUCUAUCUACAACAUCUUUCCCAAUCUCUCAAUUUUCCUAGAUUAUCGACCCAAGGUAUCAAAAGUGCAGUCUUUUUAUACUUCCUGACCGUUAAUUUUAGCUACUUCUUCAUCUCUACACCUAUUAUUACUAAACUUGCAUUUUAUAUAAUAUAUAUGAUAUUUAUAUAUUAUAUAGAAUAUAAUAAAUAUAUUAUAUAAAACAAAUUAUAUUAAUAAAAUAAAUAUAUAAUAUAAUAUAAUAUAAUAUAAUUAUAAUAUAAUAUAAUAUAAUAUUAUAAUGUAAUAUUAUAAUUACACUAUAUUAUAUUAUAUUAAUAAUACAAGUAUUAUGUAUUAGGGUGGAUAUAUUAUACAUAUAUUGUUUAAUAUAUAAAUAAAAUAUUAUAUAAUAUAUUAUAGGAGAAAUAUCCCCGUACCCUUUAUUUUGGUUUUCUUAUCUCAAUAGACCGAUUCAAAAUGUAUCUCCUAACUCUUUGACUAACUUUAUUAUUUUUAACUAUUUUUUUAGCCUUAACAAAUAUAAAAAAGAUAUGUUCAUUCUGAACUCGUUCUUUCUUUACGUGAUAUAUUCACGUAGAGAGAAAAAAAUGAUGGUGUUUAGAAUUGAUAUGUAUUUCUUAUAUUUGUUUGGGGCAAAAAAAUAAGUUUAAAGUGGAUAAAAUUAACUUAAGGGGUUAAAAUAAAGAUAUAAAACUCAAAUUUUUUUUGACCCAAUAUAUGUUUUGAAACUUUGGGUCUAUUGAGAUAUAAAACUUAAAAAUAAAAAGUAUGAAUAUAUUUUCCCUAUAUUAUAUUGUAAAUAGUUAUAUUGUGAAUAUGUUUGGAAAGUUUGGGUUCCAAGGCUUCCCGGGAACUUAAAACGUCUCAUUUUAAAAGGCGAAAAGAAACUUUGGGGAAAUUUGGGGUUCCCACUACUAUAGCAGUUCCCGCAUAGCCAAACACGGAAAUGUUACAGUAUGAGAAACAUUAUAUUUCGAAAAGUUUUCUUUCCUGCAAACAAUCACGUAUUAAGAGAGACAAAAUGUAGUGAAUAUCAACCGUCCAUUUAAAAAAAGAAAUAAUGAUGUAAAUCAAUGCCUUAGGGUACUUGUUUAACCCACAAAUUUUGUAUAGUCGAAUUUAGGAAAAUAAGAGAUCGAUUUCAAGUUCUUGAAAGGCUAGAUAUAGCCAGUUAUGAAAUGGACAGCCUCUGAUCCUCGAAUUCAAAAAGAGUUGUAUUUUAAAUUAUUUCUCUGAGAUUAUCUACAAAGAAAUUAUUUAUUUUUCGUACAUGGAGAUCUCAAUUUUUCUUGUCUCUUAAAUUUCAAAGUAAGCAUUCGUAAGAAUGUCAUUAAAUAGGUACAAAAUUCUAAAAAAAUAUUCUUGGAUUUCGUGACUCACCAAGCCAUCCAAUUUGAUAUCAAAUGAGUGGAAAUGAUUAUGAUAUCCAAGUACAAAAGAUAAAUGGCAUUUUUGUAGAUAAUCCCUAUUUUUCUUCACCUUCUUCAUCAUAGCAAGAAUAAGGUUUGUGCCAAAAUUUAAGGUUAUUAAAUGCCCUUUAAGGCCCUCAAAAUAAAUGGGGAAUACUGCAGGAAUCUACCCAAGACAAAAUGUUUUUUGGGAUUUCCAACAUUGUUAUUAGAGGUUGAAAUGAGAACCCUAUAUACCACCAAGCCGAGAAGGAAGUUUAAAAACCCCACCUUAGCUGCCAUAUUUAUUUAUUUUUAUUUUUUAUUACUAUUAUUUUAUCUUUUAGGGUAGGCACUAUCAAACUUUGAAACACCCUAGUCUGGGAUAUCUCCUCUUAUUAUAGGGAGUAAAACCUAGUAGUUAGAUUUUUAAACAUCAAAAUGAGGAUUAAUAGUUUUAUUUUAGGAUUAUAUACCAUGAGACCAUUUAUCUUUGUUAGAUAGAAGUCACAAUUGAUACAAGCCAUUAGAUGUUAAAUUGAAUAGCUUGCGGCCUAACAUAAAGUUCGAGAAAUUUUUAUUGAACUUUAAGUCUAGUCAAUGACAUACUUAAAACCUGAUGGACAUGAGAAAUGGUCUCUUUAUAUACUUUUUCUUUUAAAAUUAGAAAUAUAGAGCUUGCAAAAACAUAAGAUUAUAUAUUGUGAGACUACUUUCCUUUAAGAUAAAAAGGUUACACCCUUACCCAUCAAAUACAAAAUCAUUGGCCUAGCGCUGUUUCACAAAGUAUGAGAAAAACUUUCUUAAACUUCAAGUGCCAUCAAUGGCAAAUCCCCCAUCUGCUCAUUUGCCUCGAUGGCUAUUGUGAUUGUUACAAUUCAAAAUUUUUGGACAAUUCGAUCUAAAAGUUUUGGAAUACAAAUCUAAUUUUAUUUUAUUUUUUCGAAAUACUUAGAUAUUGAUUCUGAAGUGGAUCUCAAGAAAUUUUGGAUAAAAAAUCAUGUUCUUUGACUGAGGGAGUAAAUGUAUAGUACGCUCCUCCGUGACUUUUCUAUACGCAUUCGAAAUAAAAUAUUGCCCUGAGAAAUGGUGUUCUAAUUUAUGGCUGGUUCUUGAAUUAAAAUUGUUCUUUAUGUUGAUAGAUAAAACAAUUAAUAUAAAAUUAUUUUCAAUUUGCAGCUUGGAGAUAUGGUAUUCUCAAGGGUUGGUGCUUAUCUCAGGACUCCUACCUAAUGCAGAAGUAUCCUUGGAUUCCAUUUCAGUUUGGUAAGUUCCUUUCUUCUUUUUUUUUCUCUUUCUGGCAACAAAAGAAAAGAAAAUGUAUUUAAUAUGGAAAUUUGUCAAAAUGCAUCACAUUAUAUCCAUUUUUUAAUUAAAUUGGAAAAGAUCCGAAUCAAAAUACAUGUAAUCAAGAUUAAUGAGUUGGAAUAGUUGAAUGUGGGUAAAAUGUUACAUAAUUGAUAAGUUGGGUAUAUUAUGAUUAGUUACCCUUAUUUAAUUUUUACAAAUUUAAUUUUAUUGUAUUGUUUAUUUCAUUUUAACUUAAUUUCCUAUUGUUCAUGUUUAACUCUUGUUUUUUCUAAUUUAAAAAUUGAGAGAGAAGUGAAGGAACCAAUCUAGAAUUUGAAAGGUGGAUUUUAUUUUUUAAAAUUAUGAUUUAAUGGGUGACAUGUUUGUUGUUUAUUUUAUGGGAAAGUAUAUGAUGAGACUAUUUAUCUUUGGUGUAAGGUGGUCACAAUACAUCUUGACCACUGGAUGGGAAAUUGGGUGGCUGCAUUUAUUUCAUUGACCAAGCUCAAAGUUAAAAAGAAUUUUUCUUGAACUUGUGAUACACCCAAAGUAUCAACUUUCACAUUGGAUGAUUGUAAGUAAUUGUGACCUCCCUAUUUUAAAAGUAAAUGGUCUCAUUGUAUACAAUUCUUUAUAAUAAAUGUACAUGUUAGACAACUUAUACUCUUGAUUGUUUCAAUUAUACAGUAUGAACUACCUUAACUGGGAUAUGAUGCUCAUGUUGGGCAUAAGUUAUGCAGCAAGGUAUAUAUGCAUUAUAGAAUCUCCCAUAAUUUGUUUUUGCCCGUGUAUAUUUGAUAUAUGUAUGAUACCUACCUAUAUUUAAGUUCCCCUACCCUAAGUUUCUCCUUCUCUCUAGUUAUUAAUGAAAAUCGGAUAGAGACCUUCUCUCUCACUGACUUACCCAAAAAAAAAAAAAUUCCCCUUCUCUAAACGGUGAAAACAGGCAUCCCGAGGCAAUUUGACUUUCACCUGGUCGGGUUUUUUUGCUACCUUCCAGUGAUUGUGAACUUCGAAAUUUCUAGUCCUAAAAAUUUUCAUUAUUAAAUUUUUUAAUAAAGAUUAUAUUUAUUAUUCUAAAUUAUUUCCAAAAUCUAGGCACUAAUAAGAAAAAAGUAAGGAAUUACUUUAAUUUAGCGUUUAUUUUUAAAAUAUAUUUUAUAGUGGAAACAUUUGGAGUAGGAAAUUCGAAGUUCACCAAUAAAGUAGUGAACUCUAAACUUGGAUUAGGUGGACUACAACCCGACCAUGUUAGUCCAGGACAUGAUCGAGACCCAGUUGGGCCUAGGUCAAGUAGACCUAGACUCUGUUGGGUCCAAGUCAAGUGUCAAGUGGAGCCAGACCAAACCUUGCCCUUCACAACUUUGCUUAAUAUCUCAAGUUGGAAUACAUACACAUGUUAUUCUUGGGCUGCAUGCCUUAUUUAUGUAUAUAUGCAUAUAUGUACGUAUAUGUAUGUAUAUAUGUAUUAUGCGGGUGGAAAACUUGUAAAUUAUUUGUUGAUAUAAAGAAUAAUUUGCAGCAUCCGAGUCGGGAACGAGCUCAGGGCGCAGAGGCCGCGAACCGCAAAAUUCUCAGUGGUGGUGGUGACAACUACAUGUUUUAUUAUCAGCUUGAUUUUGAGCAUUGCAGUUUUGGUGUUGAAGAGACCAUUGAGUUUAGCCUUCACUAGUUCUGAUGAAGUGAUUGAGGCUGUUCAAACCAUGACUCCUCUUCUUGCAUUAUCCGUGCUCCUUAAUGGAACACAACCCAUUCUCUCUGGUACACUAACAAAUCCUUCAAGCUUGUGUAUGCAUAUAUCUUUUACAUCCGGCUUUCAGUAUUUAUUGUUAGUAAAGUCCGUCCAUGAGAGAGAGGACUUCCACUUUUGACUCAUCAAGGGCAAUAUCGGAAUGUAUGCCAUUAGACUGUUGUAGUGAAUAAGAGAAUAAAUUGGGAGAGAUAAAUUUAGGGAAAAUUACAAAUAACUCGUAAGGUUAGAAUUUUUAUGCAAGGUACAUCAAAUUUUUUCUCACUUUUAACCUCAAAGUAUACUUUUUUGACAAAUACACAGAAUAAAAAAUAAAAAAUAGUCUAAACUGCCCUCCUUGGCUUUUACCCACACCUCUCUCUCCUCAGUCCCACAAAAAGGCAGUCCGGCGUACUCUUUGGGUGGUUUAGCAGUGUAAUGUCAGUUCAGUAAAUAACAGUGGUGGUCAAGCACUGAUAAAGAACGGUCUGGCAAUAGGCCCAUGUGUCUGAUACUACCAAGAAGCGGUCCGGCAAUAGGCCCAAACUGCGGUCAGGCAAUGUCAAAGAGCGGUCCGACACUUUUUUUAGUUUGAUGGGGUCUAGCAAUGUCAAAAAGCGAUCCGACAACCCAUGUAAGCACACGUGAAUGUCCAGUCAAAAUUAAAUUUUAUAUACAAAAAAGGGUAUUUUUGUCAAAAAAUGUAUUUUUUUUAUACUUUGGGGUAUUUGCUAGAAAAAUGUAUUUUAGGAAAAAAAUGAGAAACAAAAAUUUGAUUGGAGGUAACUUGCCUAAAAAGUCUAGUCUUGAAGUUAUUUGUAAUUUUCCCAUAAACUUAGUAGUCGACAGCUUCAUUAGAGAUAUGCUCAUGUGGCCCCUUUCACUCUCUCCUCUCCUCUCUCUCCCUUUCACUCUCUCUCUCUCUUUUCACUCUUUCUUUUUUCUCUCUCUCUUUUCCCUCUUCUCUCUAUCUCUUUCUUUCUCUCUCUUCUCUCUCUCUAAUUUCUAAAAAAUACACUUUAACUAUCUUAACAGGCAAAAGAGAGGACUUUAUAGAUGUCAAAUUUUGGGAUCCAGUUUAGAGUUACUAGUGAAAAAAAAACCUACGAAUUCUUAAGAACUAAUGCAUGAUUGUUUAAAAAUUGGAUGGUCUCUCUUCAAUCUUUUUGAAAGCUUUUUUCCUCAAGUACAUGGAGAACGUGUAUCAAUUUAUUCACCUUUUUUCUUUUUGUCCUUUUUUUUCUUUUUUCUUUUUUAUUUAUGUUUGUUGCAUGGUUUAGGAGGUUACGGCCCCAAAAUUUUGUGCCAUAGAGUUACACCUAGACAAGGUUUUACCCAAGGGAGUAAAUAUACUAUGGAAAAAGUAUCCAAUAAGAUUGUAUGUUUUUGACACAAGGAGGUCACAAUGACAUUGAUCAUUAGAUAUAAAUUUUAGCUAAGGGUGUGCAACUGGUUAGGUACAAAAAUCAAAUAAAUUUUCUCGAAUUAUAUGAUACAACUAUAGCUUUCAGAUAUCACAUCCAAUGGCUGAAAGUGAUUGUGAUCUUCUUAAACUAAAAAUAAAUGGUUUUAUAGCAUACAAUUACUAUACAUAUGCUCCGACAUAUAAUCUUUUAGCUUACUAUAAAGACCAGCUAAGGAAUUAUAAAUUUGUUAAUGCAGGAGUUGCUAUUGGUUGUGGAUGGCAAGCCUUGGUGGCCUAUGUUAAUUUGGCAACUUAUUACCUAAUUGGCCUUCCCAUUGGAUGUUUUCUUGGCUUUAAGACUGAACUAGAUGAAGCUGUAAGUUGGCAUACAAAAACUUGAGAAAUAAUUAAUGCAUAUUAAUUUUUAUUUUUAUUUUAUUUUAUUAAAUUUAUUAAUAUACACAUUUUAGAUGAACUAUUUAACAUUUUACCUGAUCUCAUUGAUUUAAUUUAAAAAAACUUAUUGGAAUAAUUGAAAAUGGAUAGAACGUAAAAUACUUGAUAAAUCCGACAUAUUUUGAUGAAUUCUACUUUUAUUUUUAUGUUCAAUUCUCCUUUUAUUCUUAAUUUAUUUACUUUUUAUUUUUAAUUCAAUUUGGACUGGGGAUUUGGUGGGGGCUGAUUAAUGGAGUGGGACUACAAACUGCAAUUCUUAUUGUUCUAACAGCCAGGACCAACUGGGAUAAAGAGGUAAAUCUAGUAGUAAGCAUGAUUUCAAAGUUUUUCUCUCUUCUGCCUGUUUCCAAUGAGAAAUCCGACCAUCCAAGAAUGAAAACAAUCCCCUAUCCUUUCCUUCUUUCUCUCUCCAACAGCCUCACAUUGUUUAAACUCUCUCUCUUAACCUCACUUUGUUUAAAUUUACUCACUCUAGUAACCUCACAUUGUUUAAAUUUACUCUCACUCUAUCUAUUGGGCAAGCUUUUUAUGAUUCCUCUACAAUACAGAAGUUCUAUCUUUCCCUUUAUCCAACUGUCCAUUCUGAAUAGAGGGCUAAGAUUGCCCCAAUCUCAAUGUCACGUCUCUAUACUAUUAUAUUUUAAAUUUUUUUUUAUAAACCAUUUUAACACCAAAUUUUAGCCGUCCAUUCUUCUAUUAAACUUGCGCUAGUGAAAAAUAUAAAAAAAAUAUUUUCAAUAAAAUAAAAUAACCAAAAUACCCUUGAAAGAUUCAAUGGGUAUUUUAGUCAUUAUAUUUUAUCAAAAAAUUAUUUUAAAUAUUUUUUAUAGAUGUGCCCCAAUGAGAAGAUUCCAUGUACCAAAUUUCAUAUUCAUACAAUUUGUAUAAAAAAAAACUAAAAAUAAAAUAUUUUGAGACAUCGGAUCUAAUAUCAAACGGUGAGUGACUCUCUUGAUCAAAAUUGGAUGGUUGGAUGGUAGGGAGAGGAUAGAAUUUCUAUGUUGUAGGGGAAGCAUAGAAACCUUCCCCUAUCUAAUAAUCUCACCUUAUUUAUAUUUACUCUGUCUCCUCCCCCUGUAAACCAAAAAAAUAAUCUCACAUUGGUUUCCAUAAGGCUUAUGAAACCAAAAUAAAGCCUCAUCUCAAAUCCUUGUCCGGAAAGCACUUUUGGCAACGAAAUUAAAUUUGAAACUAAAAAAUCAAUAAAGAUCUUGUAGAUCUAUUAACACUUAUAUUUAGGGCAAAAUGGCGGUCUAAAUAAUUUGUUACUGUUGGGCUCACCCAAUUGAGAGCCAUCUUGCACGAAUGAGGAUGGAUAUAUGGAAUAAAUAUAUGCCAAAAUUGAUAUGUGUGUAUGAGUAGAAAAAAAUUGCAAUAAAGUAAAUAACUUAUUGGCAUCGAGAUUUUACGUCGUUUACCUUUUGAGUCUAUGUCCAUGGGAAAAAAGAAACAAAUCCACUAUAAAAAUUAUGGUUACAAUGUUUUUUUAAGAAACAAGUUUUUUUAGACUCUCUGAUUUCUUCCAUAAGCUUUUCUCUCUCUCUCUCUCUGAGGUUCUUUUAUCUGUUAGAUGUUUUUUUGUUCUUUUCUAGAGGUUUUAUCUCUCUUUUUGAAAAAAAUGGUCUCACUCUCUCUUUUCUUCUUUCUUCUCUCUUUAAAAACAUUGUAACUUUCUCUCUUUUCUUCUUCUCUAUAAGAAAAUGUUCUCUAUAUUUUUCUAAUACACCAAGAAAAAUCUCACAUUCAAUAGAGGAAUACACAAACUAAAAAAAACCUAAACGCCCAUAUUUUCACAUUUUAUAUAGGUCAAUGAGAUGAGUAUCUCGUAACCUUUCUAUCCCUUUUUAAUUAAUAGAUAAGAGAAGAAACUCUACCCCAACAAAACCAUCAUCACCUGAGAUCUUAUUUGGGGAAGAUGGCUUGGUCAAUGAGUAAUUUUUUUUGACUUUUCAAAACUACCCUUUAGGACAAUUUCCCCUUCCACAAUGGUAUGGGGCAUCCAACAAUUACAAUAUAUAUAUUUUUAGAGUUUAAAAUCCUAGUUUUUUCUAUUCAAACCAAGAUAAACGAUGUAAUGGUUUUUCAAUGCUUAAAAUGUAAUUUUUAAUGAGUUAUGAGAUGAGGCUUUACUAAUUUUGAUAGAGUUACAGCUCUAUCAAUCCAUUUUCCUUCACUCACACACUCUCUCCUAACCUCACAUUAUUUAAAUUUACUCUCACUCUAAUAACCUCACAUUGUUUAAAUUUAGUCUCUCUUUUAACCUCACUUUGUUUAUAUCUACUCUCUCUCAUAAGUUCACAUUAUUUAAAUUUAUUCUCUUUUUUGGGUAAAUUAUUUAAAUUUACUCUCUCUUCUAUAAUAACCUCUAAUAACUUUUUAUAUUUUUUUCCUUUUCUUUUUCAGGUUGACAAGGCGGCUGCAGGAAUAAAGCGCUCGAAUGAUGAAGCAACAUUUGAAAAUGGGGCGGCGGCUUAAAAGAUUGUGUACAGCUUCUCUCUUUGGCGGUUGCUGAUUAUGUAACCGUGUUGUUAUGAUCUUGAUCAUUCUUGAUUGAUUAAUAAAAAGUAUGGAAUAUUGUCAAGAAAAAAAGAAAAAGAAAAAAAAGAGGACAAGUCCAAUAGGCAUGUACCCUGCCAAAAAAAAACAACAAAAAAAAAAAAGAUAAAAAAAAAAAAGUUAAAAUAAACCAAACUAAACAAAAAAACCAAACUAAACAAAAAAUAACAUAAAAAAUCAAAUUACAUAUAAAAACCAAACUAAACAAAAAAUAACAUAAAAAAUCCACAUGAGCUAAAAAAAAAUGUAAAACAUGAAUUUAGGAGAACUAAAUAUGAAAGUCCAAACGUUAGGGAUACGUCAAAAAAUUCAAAAAAAAGAAAGAAAAUAUAUAUAAAAAAGGACCUAUGACAAUAACAAGUAAAAUAUUACCAUAAAAAAUCCAAAUUACAUAGAAAAACGUAUACAUUGGUUUUAUAAUUUAAUACAUUUUUUAUAUGACAAUAACAACUCACAAAUUACCGUAAGAAAAAUCCAAAUUACAUAUAAAAACUUAUAUGUUGGUUUUAUAAUUUAAGAAAUUUUUGAUAAUUUUGUAAUAACCCCUACUUUUACCCGAAUACUCGGCUCAGAAAUUGAUUGGUGGGUUACUUGGGGCUAUCAACUCCAAAAACGUGGAUUAAGAGAGCGGUGGAGGAGAGAAGAAGGGGCAAAGAUUUUCUUCUUUGGAGAUGCAAGAGAGAGAGUGAAGGGGAAGGAGGGCUUAGAAAGAGAGAAAGUAGGGUGGCAAUGGACUUAGACCCGGGUCCGAACCCGACCUGGGUCCGGGCAUGGGUCCAAGAGUUGGAACCCCCAUAGUCCAGUUGCCACCCCUAAACAGAAGGAGAUGAUUUUUCACUUAAUGAGAGAAUUUUAGUAUAAAUUCUGAGGCAAAGUUCACUAGUCAAUGAAUAAGAAAACUUUUUCAGGGUAAUUGAUGUAUGAGACUUUGUACUAGGCAUUAUAGGGAGUAUAGUUUGUCUGGGGGUGAUUCAAUAAUUUUUCCUUUUUCCAAGUUUCACUUCAAGCUCCACUCCCAUAUAUGUAUAAAUAUACAGGAGCAUAUGUUUGUGACCCCUCUGCUUAUGAAACUAGGACUAACACCUCAUAUUCAAUCUACCAUAUCUGAAAAACCUAUGUAUUUUCAUGCUAUUUUAUUUUAAUAUUUUUUUAUAAGACGUUUUUAUCUAAAAUUUUUGGGUGGCGUGCACUUGACAUGCACCCACCAAUAGUAAAUAUAUAAAAAAACGAAAAAUAUUAAAAACGCCUGUAGGUAAAAUGUUACCGUUUUUCGCCACAGCCACAAACUUGCUAUGUCUGUAGUGGUUUAUUGAAUGGUUUCACGUGAUUUUUUGACCGUCAUAGACCUAGUAUGUCCGUAACGGUUCCACCACAAACAUGUUAGGUCUGUUGCGGUCGAAAAAUACACGCCACUUGAUUUUUUUGGACGGUGAUGAGCCUAUGGGCGAAAACACUGUUUAUUUUCACCCAUAGGCAUUACAUAGUGUCUUCCAUAAAAAAAUACACCAAAAAUAAGGGUGUGGUUUGCAUAAGGUUACAACGUUAAACAAUCAAAGUAAAGUGCACUUCCAAACAUUGUCAUGAAAUGCAAUUUAAGUAUAAAAAAUUCUUAGGAUGGUGCGAAGAUAUAUUUUUAUUUCGAAUUAUAAAAUUUUAAACUCUAAAAAUGGUUCAAAUCAAGUACAUCUAUAUCAUCAUCAUUUUAGCUUUUUUCUAAUUAAUUGAGAUCUGUUACAUGAAUUAUGAUUCUCUAUUCUAUUCUCUUCUAUCGAAGGAUGUGGUUUUUAUAAGGCCGAGGCUCACCUUCAAAUAGUAUUAAAAGAUUUUGUUUCAAUACCGGAAAUCUUUAUUUUGGCCUGAACAUCUAUUUUCUAUCUUUAAUUAUAAAAUUUAAAGCUUCAAAAUUACUGUAGAUCAAGCACAUCUACGAACACUUGAAAAAUCUUGAAACUUGACGCUCAAAAAAUGCAUUACAAGAUGCAUUAUUUCCAAAACUUAAAAUAUAUUUUUUCUCAUGUCCAUGCAUUUUGAGGUUGAGAUGAUCAAUUUAAAGAUUUCUGGACAUCAAAACAACCUCUUCAAGUGAAAUUUGUGAGAUCCACCUUAAUUUGAUUUUUUUAGAGUCUCACACUUAUAUAGACCUUUUCCUUUUUGGAAUGAUUUCAUAGGCGAACCUUAAGUGGCCACUUUGUUUGAACUUUUUCCAAAAACUAAUGACUAAAACUUACCCUCUAUGUCAGUGAAUGUUGACCGUCGUAUGGUUCGAUUUGGGCCUUCACGCUCACAAUUGUUACCCAUAAACAUGCAUGGAAAUAUGAACGCAAGUGGAACGCACCUGCGGGAGUAUGCUGUACAACAACUCCUUUAGGCAAAAGAGUAACAUGGAAAGAUUUUUAUGUUCCAAAAGUUUGAGAUCCAUCUAAAUAUGGUUAAAUGAAUAUUUUCAAGGAAAUAAAUUUAUUUUUUAAGUUCUUGAACACCUAGAUCUCACUUUUUGAAGAUUAAACAGUUCUUGUUUAAUCUCGGGGCAUUGAUUUCUUUUUUGUUUAGACACAUAGAGGAUCCUAUUUAUUUAUUUCUUUUCUUUGGGGCUGGUUAUUAGGUUCUAAAUCUGCAUUCCAAAAACUUAAGGUCCAAAAAAUAUUCCGAACAUGAAGUUUUACCCCAAGGGAAUAUGCAGUAUGCUCGCCUAGGAGUUACAAAUCUUUUCACUAGAAGUAUUUCUCCUCUCAACAAAAAUAGUUUUAAUAGAGGCAAUGACCAAAUUGGGCCAACUAAAAUAGAAGUUGGACCUAACUUAUUGAAAAGUGGGGCAAAAUUUCAUCUAUUAUCCAAGUUAUAGCCACUAAAAUUUCAUCGAUUAUCCAAUGUAUAGCCUUUAGACUUUGGUCUAAAAAGGUGAUGAUCUUAAAUUGUCCCUAAGCUUAUCUCAUGCUUGGGUAAAAAAAGACUAGGUUGUUUGAGGUUGACAGCCAAUGUAAAAUUUUGUCAAAACUUAAGCCGAUCUCAAAUAAUAUAAUGAUGAUGGUGAUGAUGAUCCAAUGUAUGGUUGACAUCCUAGCCAUGAGACUGAAACAAAAUAAAAGUCAAAUGACAGUUUUUCAUUGGGAAUCAUCUCAUUAGAAAUUAUUGAUGUUUACCAAAAAUAUUAAAAAGAAAAUCGCAUGUGUGAUAGUCUUGUAGAGCACACAAGGCACUUCUUCGGCAAAAGAUGGAUUAUUUUUAGUACUUCCAACUCCAUUUCUUUUUCGGAUGCAUUAUCAUUGUGCAGUUAAUAUAUAUCAACCAGAUAUGAGAAUUGAUAGGCUUUGAUGUUGUUUGCCGUUGUUUCUUUUUCCAAUGCAUAUCAAUAAUCUUCUCUCCUGUAAUUAUUCUCUGAAUAUAUAUGCUAUUAUGGCACUGGAACUAGUUUGAGUGUUGAGUUUUAUUUUGCCUAUCCAAAAUGCCUUUUGCUCCAAGAUCACUCACUUUUGAUUUUCAGAUCUAUCUAAGCUACGGGCCCACAAGCACAAGAAACGAAAAAAAGACCUACAUAGGUUUUCUCUUUCCACGAUCGCAAAAAAUCACUUUUUUUUUUUCAUUCACCAAAAUUCCUGCUUGUGAUUUCUGUUUUUGUUUUUUAUCUCUCUGAUACGCGGUUAUUUUGCUGGGUGCUAGUCAUCGGUAAUCUUAAACUGCGUCACGAUCUCUACUUUAUUUGUCUAUGGAAGGUGCUUUAUUGUCUCAAGCAAGCUCCAUGUGCUUGGUUUAUCAGUUUCGUCUAAUGAACUGCCAAAAGGGGAAAAUCGUCUCAACAUAUUUAAGAACAAUACGUUCUGAUGAAGCAUCCAGGCUAUAGCUUUCUUAUUUCUUUGAGCUUGUAGCUCUUCACCACAAUUAUGUUAUCCUCACCAUUCAAUGGCAACACAUGAGCAUCUUGAGUUCAACUUACAAAUAAUGAGGUGAUCGAUACACUUAUCAAGCUGAAUAUUCAGCAUGAACAGAGUAUAGUUUUACCUUUCUGAUAGACUACAUAUACAAGUGUUUGUAUUGUAGAAUUGUGUCGCUAUCUCAAGAAUCAAUGUCUGUUAUGCAAGUCAUGUAAUCAGUCCCUUCAGUCACCUCAGAUAUCUCUCUUGAUGGUUGCCUUCUUAUCAUGUAAUGCAUUUGUCAAUGCAUGGCAUGAGGGCUUCAUGUGCAGUUCUCUUAAGAUCUUCACUUGACAGCCUAUGCAUAUUUCGAUUGGACAGCAGCCCAGAUAGAAGGGAAUCCACAACUUGGUACUGUCAUAUCUUUGCGAUUUUGCACCUUAUUGAAAUGUUACCAUUUGUCCCUUGUUGUCUUCUCAGGCCAACUCGUAAAGCAUAUGUUAUUCUACUUAACACAUUCGCCUUAACUGGGAUGGUAGAGGAGGCUAGGACUCUGUUCAAAAGCAUGAGAAGAGAUAAGUAAUAUUUUCUUCUCAUUUAAUUUCUGUUUUGCAUGAGCAUCAAUCCAUGAUUGAUCGACCCUAUUAAUGCUCGACUCUCUCUCUCUCUCUCACUCCAGGUGCCACCCUGAUCUACAUUCAUAUACCACCAUGUUAGCUGCAUAUGUGAAUGCAUCUGAUAUGGAGGGAGCAGAGAAGUUCUUCGUGAGAAUGAAGAGCGAUGGUUUUGAAACCAAUAUAGUGACAUAUGGAACACUCAUGAAAGGUAGCCAAAGAGAACAAUCUAGAGAAGAUGCUGGUUAUAUAUAAUGAGAUGAGGAUGAAUGGGAUCAAGGCAAAUGAGACCAUCUUUACAAUUCUUAUGGCAAGCAAGAUUUGGGAAGUGCCAUUGUAUGGUACAAGGAGAUGGAGUCCAAUGGGUGCAUGCCUGACCAAAAAGCAAAGAAUAUCUUCUAGUCUCUGGCAAAAACACCAGAGGAACAAAAGGAAGCCAAGGAACUGGUGAGAGAUGCCAUGAAAGAACACCUUGAUGGAACGGUUAAUGAAUUGUAUCUUGUGUCCGAUGACGAUGAUAAUAGCAAUGGUGAUGGUGGUGAUGAUGACGAUGACGGUGAUGAUGACAUUGCAGCAGAAUAUCCUUUUGUGGGCGACUUUGAAAAAGUUGCACAAGAAUAGAGGCGACAACUAUCCAUAGUUCCUGUUGACACUAAAAGGCAAGAAUCUCUAUAGUAUAGCAGAGCUGAUUUGAACUAGUUUCCAUGUAACAUAGUCACAAACUGAUUUUCCUGAUAUCUUCAGCUAUUCACCUUUUUGAGAAGCCUUUUUUUUUUUUAAGAAAAUAUUUUGUGGAAUUUGAUGUGAGAGUCACACAUGGAUGCCUACAUAUUUGCAUGGAUUUAUUGGAAUUUAGUCACAUGAUGGCAACUUGUUGGGAAUUUCUCUAUCAAGUUUCAUCAAAGAAAUGACAAUCACAGGGAGUUAACUACAAUGGUAUUUGGAUCCAUUCUUUGAUAUCAUUUUGUAGGACAUCAUUUUUGUCCAACAACUGUUUCUUCUAUCAUAAUCUUUUCUUCAUAAAAUGACAAGUCAUUCAAGAAAUUUGUGAAAUGAGGGGGCAUAAAACUAACAAUAGGACAACACAUUCACGUGCCUUUUAGAUACUUAGGUGAAGUAUUUCUAAUUUUGAAGCUAAUAUUUGCUGCUUAUCUGGAGUCUACACACUUCCAUUGAAGUCUGGUAUUUAAAGAGAUGUAUUAGGGAACUGUUGAUUCUAUAUCUUAAAACAUCUCUAAAUGAAGUAUGCAAAACUGUGUCCGAGGUGUAGGGUUAAAAAACUAAAGGUUGUAUCCAAAUCAAAUCAUGAUAAUCUGUCAUUUUUCUUUUUACAUCUAGAUCAUUUGAUAUAACUUUGAUUCCCUUGAAACAAAGAUCAUAUGAACAAUUGGUGAAAGUUAAAAAGAAAUUUUAGGGGUACUCCCUAAUAUCAUGUGAAAGAUCUAGCUUUCGAUCAUCCAUUUUUCUUAUACCUACAUAAUUAAAAAUCACUUUGAUUAUCCUUAAAACAAAUAUUACAUGAUAAAAAUGGUGAAAAUAAAAACAUAACUUAGGAAUCCUCUCUAAUAUCAUGGAGAAUAUCAAUCUUUGGAUCAUAUCCUAUAGACUUCAAUGACUCUGUUAACCCACUUAACACUUCAAAGAUCUCAAUUGAUCUUGAGUUCCUCUUGUCUGAAGAGUAAAACUUAGCAACACGACCACUCACCUCAGUUGAACUCCACCCUGGUAUCUUUUGAAUCCCUCUCUCUCUCAUCACCACCUUCAUUCUUGCCGCCUCUUUCCACCUCCCUGCCGCUGCAUAAAUGUUAGAUAGCAACACGUAAUUUGCAGGGUUUGUAGGCUCUAUCUUAAUAAGUUGCUCUAUAGCAUAUUCAGCAACAAUGACAUUACCAAAUGUACGACAAGCUCCAAGUAAUGAGCUCCAAACUACAUUAUCCACUUCAAUAGGCAUCCCUUUUAUCAACUCCAGUGCCUCUUCAAGCCUUCCGGCUCGGCCCAAAAGAUCAACCAUACAUCCAUAAUGCUCAAUUGUAGGUGUAAUAUGGUAGUCAUGGGUCAUAGAAUGGAAGUGUCUAGAGCCUUCAUCAACCAAACCGGCAUGUGUACAUGCACAUAAGAUCCCGACAAAGGUUAUGCCAUCCAGUCUUUCUCUCUCCUCUCUCAUCCUUCUAAAGAUUGCUAAUGCUUGCAGUCCAUGGCCAUGCAUUGCGAGCCCACCGAUCAUAACAUUCCAAGUGACCAAGUCUCUCUCUCUCAUCUCCUCGAACACACAAACCGCUUUCUCUAUACACCCACACUUUGCAUACAUAUCGAUCAAUCCAUUAGAAAUGAGUAAGUUUCCCUUAAAUCCAUUAUUGUUAGCAUAAUUAAAGAUCCAUUCACCCAUCUCCAGAGCCCCUAAUCUAGCAGAAGCUGACAAUACAAUCACCAGAGUCGCAUCGUUAGGCUUUGUAUUCAACCUCAGCAUCUCUCUAAACAUAUCCAGAACCUCACAGUGAAAACCACCAUGUGCAUAGCCCCCAAGUAUAGUGCUCCAAGAAAACACAUUCCUCUCAUUCAUCUCUCCGAAAACCUUUAAAGCUGACCCCAAAUCUCCAUUUUCAACAUAACCCACCAAAAGUGUGUUCCAAGAAAUUACAUCUCUCUCCCCCAUUGAAUCAAAAAGCUCUCGAGCCGCACACAUGUCCCCCACUUUCGCAUAACCCGCAACCAUGACAUUUGAAGAGAUCACAUCAUUCUCGGGCGCAAUAUCGUAAAGGUAACGAGCAGAUACCAAAUCAUUAGAAAGUAUAUUGCCCUGUAUAAUUGCGGUCCAAGAAACCACAUUUCUUUGAGGCAUUUGAUCAAACACCCAAUGAGCCGAGAUAAUCCUUCCACAAUUUGAGUACAUAUCAAUCAAUGUUGUGCCCACAAAUAUGUUAUCUUCGAGCCCGGUCUUAACAAUUAUACAAUGAAUCCAUUCUCCUUCUUUAAUGGCCAAUAAUUUAGCACAGGCUCUCAGAACGAAAGGGAAGGUGAAAUUAUUAGGUCCAACAUCUCUAGAAUGCAUGCAUUUGUACAACUCUAGUGUUUCUAAGAAAAAUCCAUUCUCUACAUAUCCUUUGAACAUGGUGUUAUAGAGGACCACAUUUGGUUGAAGCAUUUUGUCGAAGAACUGACGUGCGUAAUCCAUGCUAUGUUUAAUGGCACAAAAGGCGACGAUUUUCGGGGGUAAGAAGCAAUUCUGAGAGAGAUUUUGAGUGAAAAUUUGGGCAUGAAUCUGGUAGAGUUGCUUAAGGGUGCUACAUCUUUGCAAGAGGGAGGUGAGUCUCUCUUCUAUGAGCCUACCAUGUGAGAGCUUAGCUAGUUUUAGAGUGAUCUUCCCUAUUUUAGCAGAGGUGGAGUAAUUGAGAGGAGGUAAUGCCUUGAAACAGUGAAAUUUCCUCCGGGUUAGUAAGUGGAAAUACCCAUAAUCAUUUAUAUAACCGUCUCUAAAAUUUAGAUUGGUUGUCCUAGAUUCAUGGACUCUUCAAGGGAUUGCAAACCCUAUGAAAGGGUCGGGUCAGGGUCCAGUUAACCUGUACCCUACAAGAUCCAGAGUUAGGUUUGUGUCCUACAAGGUCCCGAGUUAAGUCCAUGACUUACACAUUGCAGCGCUGUUGCUCACGGGAGCAUGCGUUUAUAUUAUGUUCUCAAGGGAGUAUACUGUACAUUUACUCCUUUGGUUAGAAGACUUACCUGAGAAAUUUCUGCUCGAGCUGCCUAAAAAUACCUCCGGAUUUUUUUCAUGGUAGGAUUCUUUUCAUAGUGUUGUUUAUGUAGUGUACCAUCUCUAUUUGUAAAAAGAAGGUUGCAAUGUUUUAGACUAUUUAUUUAGUUAGAAAAUAAAGAUUUAACAUGUCUUUUAAAACAAUAUAAAAAAUAUGAGCAAUCUCUUAAGAUAUUAUCAAAUCCAUGUCGUCUAAAUAAAAUUGAUUAUUUCUACAAUGCUAUAAUUUUAUGUAAACUUUUUGAUUUUUCACCAAAAAAAUUUAGAUUUUUAGUUUUCUACACUUGAUCUCACCCUUCAAAAAUUAAAGCGUCUCUGUUCACUCUUGAAACAUUAUUUAUUUCAAGCCCAUAGAGAAUGCAAUUUAGAAACGGGUGAGGUUUGUAUAAAGAAUCAAACCUCAAAUGGUCAAAGUAAUGCGUACUUCAAAACUAUACCAAAAGAUGUAAUUUGGGUACUAGAAAGCCGGUGGAAUAAAACAUAUUCUCGGCUUUAAUUAUGAAAUUUAACGCUCUAGAAAUAGUUCCAAUCUAUUAGAUCUAUAAACAAUUAAUGGAGGAUAAUGCAUCACAACGUACACUCUUUUCCUGCAUGACACCUUGAUGUCGAGAUGAUCAAUUUAAAGGUUUUUUAACAUUAGAAUAAAUUUUUCCGUUCGGCUUUUAAGGUGCAUAUUACUUCCAUGGUGUAAGAUUGACACAUUAUACAAACUUUUUCUUUUGGAAAAUUUUUAAUUGAGUUCUCAUCUGGAUGAAGAGUUUACAUCUUAUAAAAAAUGAGGUCCUAACCCUACAUGGACAAUAUCCUCCCUACAAGGAAUGAGAUCUUUUUGCCAUUUUCAAAUGCAGGCGUACUUUUAUUUGGCUGUAUGUUAGUUGAAUAACCAUGGCAUGUUUUAUUAUGUUGGCUAAGGGAGUCAUUUGUGUAAACACAGGGGCAACUUGUGUCAACCAAAACUCACAGCUAACAUUUUAGUUGGAGCCCCAGUUUUAAAGUCCGGGUUUCCAUGAAGCAGGAAACUUUGAAUGGACGGUCAAGAUUCUCCAGGACGCGGGAAUCGUGAAUGGACGGUCGAGAUUCUCUAGUUGGAAUUUUCCCUAUCAAAUUUAACCCUAUUAAUUUGAAGGCGCCGCAUUAUUUACUCUUUUUUUUUUCUUUUUAUAGCACCCAUCAAGAAAUAAAUUUUCUCAAAAAAAAAAGAAAAAAGUAGAACCCAUCUAAAAAAUGAUUUUCUCAAUAAUAAUAACAAAGCACCCAUCUAUAAAAUAAUUUUCUCAAAAAAGAAAAGAAAAAAAAAAAAAAGACAACAAUCUAUAAAACAAUCUCACAAAAAAAAAGAAAAGUAAAGAGCACCCAUCUGAAAAACAAAAUGGAUUAUUUUAAUGACUUGUAGAUCACAUGGUAGUUGAUGUCCACCCCUUGAAUGUUUGGUAUGAACACAAAGUCCAAGUAAGUAGAUGUCUGAGGGAUUUUCUAAAGGUAGUUAGUUGUGAAGCAAUUCAUAAGUUGCUGUGAACCAGACCUUAACCCAUUUGAGCACAGCACUAGAGAGGCAUCGAGAGGGCUUCUAAGGAGGUCCAAGCUCAGUCUUCAAUGGGUGAUCAAGCUGAGCCAUUACUAUCUCAUGGCGUUUUGGACACAGACCGACUCGAGGACCUAUUAUCGAGCCAUCAGCUCACGUGGGUUCAGCUCGGGAAGGCAGCGUGGAUGGAGUCCAAGUCCUUGUGGAUUCUCUCAGGUCCAUCUAUUGUAGUCUCUCUCUUCAAUUUCAUGCUAAGUGUUGUCUCUCAAAUGUUCACUGGCCAACUUGGUGAACUUGAGCUUGCUGGUGCCUCCAUUGCUAGUGUUGGGAUCCAGGGUCUUGCCUAUGGGAUCAUGGUAGUGUGAUGUUUUCACUCAUUAUCUUCCUUCUCUUUUUAAAAUUAGGUAAUUAGUCAAUUUUUAUCUAUUUUUUUAUUGUGAUACUAAUGCAGAGCCUUAUAAUUAGGGCCGGCAACAGGCCUGGCUUGGGCCAGGCCAGGCCAGCCCUAGUCCCCAUAGGACCAAAUUGGGCUUGCCCCAGCCCUAACGGGCCAAAGAUGCCAUGCCCCAGGCCCUACCCUACUCUAUCAGGGCCUGAAAGGAAAAAUUAACAAAAAAGAGGGCCGGACCAGGCCAGGUCGGACCGGGCUGGCCUUAGCCCAAACCCCACCCGGCCCUGCCCAGCCCUGCUCAGCCCUCAGGCUGCAUUUUGUGGCCCAAGCCCUAGUUUUUAGGGUCAUAUUGUGAUGAAUUAAAUUUGUCAUAACAUUACAAAAUUGCUAUCAGCAAUAAACCUUAUAGCGAUAAAAUAAAAAUAAAUUCAAUUUAUCAUUGCUAUCAGCAAUAAACCUUAUAGCGAUAAAAUAAAAAUAAAUUCAAUUUAUCAGGUAUUUAAAUGACCUAUGCUAAUUCAGACGACAUUCAAGUUCCAUUAAUUCAAUUAAUCGGACAAUUUAGUAUCGACCUGUAAAGAAUUAUUUGAGUUUCUACAGGGCAGCCAUGACCGGGCCAAAGAUUUUAUAGUUAAUCCUUCGGGCCAGCCAUGAACAGGCCUAAGAUUUUAUAGUUAAUCUUUCAGGGCCAGCUAUGACCAGGCCUAGGCAAGGGACUAUGUUCCAGCCCUACUUGGUCGGGCUCUUCCCCUUUGUUGUUUUCAAAUAAAUCAAUAAAUUUUGAGAAAUUUAUCAAAAUGCAACUGAAAGAUUAACUAUUUAACACUUCCCAUUUGUGUUUAAUUCCAAAGAGCACAUCAUUAUCAGAACAUACAUAAUUAUGAGUUGGAAUAAUUGAAAAAUGAGUAAAUCGUUAAAUAGUUCUUAAGUGUAUUUUGAUAAAUUUACCUAAAUUUUGAAAUUAUAGGUGAACAUUAUUCAAGUUUCCAAAAUCCACAAAAAUCAGUAGAAAUCUUCUUAAUUUUGAAGAAAUUGGUAUUAAAACUCAAUUAUGGCUCUAACUGCGGCAUUCUUUGAAAAAAAAAAACAGUUGGGCAUGGCAAGUGCUGUACAAACAGUAUGUGGGCAAGCUUACGGAGCGAAAAAAUAUAGCAUGAUGGGGAUCAUAUGCCAAAAGGCCAUGAUCAUCAUGCUCCUGACCUCCUUCGUGCUCUCGUUCGUCUACUGGUUCUCUGGGCCCGUGUUGAUAGCCAUAGGCCAAACAGAGGACAUUGCAGCUCAAGGCCAGAUAUUUGCUAGAGGUCUCAUCCCUCAGCUCUUUGCAUUUGCUCUGAACUGUCCCCUGCAAAGAUUCUUACAGGCUCAAAAUGUGGUGAACCCCUUAGCCUACAUGGCCGUAGGGACAUUUGUGCUCCAUGUGCUCCUGACCUGGGUUGUGGUCUAUGUCCUAAGUUGGGGGCUGUUAGGGGCAGCCCUUACACUGAGCUUCUCAUGGUGGGUGCUUGUGCUCCUCACCUGGUUCUACAUUGUCUUCUCUAACAAGUGCAAGGAGACAUGGACCGGGUUCUCGUGGCGGGCGUUUUCUGGGCUUUGGGCCUAUUUCAAGCUCACAAUCGCGUCCGCGGUCAUGCUAUGGUGCGUAUAGAUAUGUGUUAUUUACCAAACUUUAAGUUUUAAAAAAAUAUAUAUUUGAACUUCAUAGCACUCCCCAAUACAUCCAAUUUGAUAUCUAAUGACUUGAAAUAAUUGUGACAUCUUUAUACUAAAGAUUAAUGGUCUCAUAAGAUACAAUCCCUUUUGUAUACCUCACUAUCACCAAAUGAACAAAUUUAAGAAAACAAGAAACCAAUUUCAAGUUCUUAGAAGACUAGAUGUAGUCACUUAUGAGAUGGACAGCCUAUAUUCCUCGAGUUCAAAAACCAGUUUUAUUUCAAAUAUUUUACUUGACCUCCAUCAUGGCUAGAACAAGGUGCGCCCCAAAUUUAAGGUGAAUUAAGUGCCUCUUAAGGCCUUUAAGGCCCUCAAAAUAAAGAGGGCGCACUUUAGAGGUCUGCCCAAGGGCGGAUAAAAUGCUUGAUUCAAAUAUUGUUAUUAGAGGUUAAAAUAAUAAUAAUGAUAAUAAUAACUAAUAAAUAAAUAAACACUAUGCCACCAAGCAAGGAAGGAAGUUGAAAAAAAAACGCCUUAGGACGGCUAGGAAGUUGAAAAAGAAACACCUUAAAACCACCAUUUUUUUUGUCUUUUAGCUAGGCACUAUCGAAUUUUGAAGGAAAAGUUUCAUAUAAGGUGUUAAUUUUAUUUUGUCUUUAAGGGAGGGACUAUCGAACUUUGAAGGAACAGGUUCAUAUAAGGUGUUAAUUUUAUAUUAUAAAAGUAAGGUACACCUAAAAGACCCACUAGAGAAGGUUGUUCUUGUGCUGGAAAUCCCUCAAAUCGAUCAUCUCGACUUUGAGAUUCAUAGACAUAAAAAAUUGGGAUUUCCGGUCCUAAAAAUAGUUCAUCUUCUAACACAUUAUAUGGACCGUCCACUUUCAAGCGUUUAUAGAUUUGCUUGAUCGUCACCAUUUAUGAAACUUUAAAUUUCAUAAUUGGGGGCAACAAUAGAUUUCAUAUCAAUCGCAAGGCUUUGCGAUACCAACACUGCAUUUUCAGCAUAGCUUUGAGGUGCACCCUACUUCAAUAGUAUAAGGUUGACACUUUGUAGAAACCUCACCCCACCUUAAAACUGCCAUUUUUUUUAUCUUUUAGGACGUGUUUGAUAAUAAGAAGCAAGAACAUGAACUGGAAAUUGGAGUUACUGAAGAACUGUAAAUUAGAAGUUCCUUAAGAAGUUAAUGGUUUAUGUGUUUGAUAACCUCCCUUGGAAAGUUAAGAAGUUUAUAGUUUCUAUGUUUGAUAACUCUUGAGAUAUAUGGUAAAUAUAUUAUAUUUAUAUUUACAUAGAUAAUAAUUUAAAUAGAAAUAUAUAAUAUUUAUAACAUACUAUAAUACAUGAUAUACUGUAUUUUAUAUUUAUUUUUAAUAUAUAUAUAUAUCUUAUAUUACAUAAAAUAAUAUAAUAUAUUUUAUUAUAUAUAAUAUNNNNNNNNNNNNNNNNNNNNUAUAUAUUAUUAUAUUAUAUUAUAUAUAUUAUUAUAUUAUAUUUAUAUAUAUAAUAUAAUAUAUUAUUUUAUAUGUAUAUAUACUCGAGCUUAAAAGGUGGGAACUUCAACAAUAAAAAGGAGUUCUCAAAUUAUCUUCCACUUUUUAUCAUUUUUUAUCAAACACACAACAUGAAUAAUAAUAGGUAAAGUUCAUUCUUCCUCUUCUAACUUCCUGUUAUCAAACGCACCCUUAGGGUAGGCGCUACCAAACUUUGAAACGACCUAGUCUGAGGUAUCUCCUCUUAUUAUAGGGAGUAACCCCAUGAAUUAGUCUGGGGUAUCUCCUCUUAUUAUAGGGAGUAACCCCAUGAUUUAGUCUGGGGUAUCUCCUCUAAUUAUAGGGAGUAACCCUAUGAAUUCGAUUUUUUAAUGCUCAAAUGAGGAUUGCUAAUUUUAAAUUAGAAAUAUAUAGUAAAAUGUUUAUCUUGUCAAAAACAAUAGUGUAUAUUAUGAGACUUUCGGUACGAAGUCAUAGUCAUCAUUAGUCAUCAAAUUCAAAAUCGAUUACCUAAGUGUGUCACAAAGUUUGACAAAAAAAACUUUCUUAACAUUAGGCACCAUCAAUGGCAAAUCCCCAGCUGUUCACUUACAUAUCAAUGGCUAAGGGUGACCAAAGAUAAACACUCUUAUUGUUUACUCUCUCCAAAAAGACAACAUUGAGUCGAAACCCCUUUUUCCCUUCCUUCUUUUUUUUUUGGUUUCUUCUUCUUUUGGUGUAUGCAUAUCAAACAUUCACUCCCCUGGAAAACCCUGUUUGGGAGUGUUUUCAGGGCCCUAAAUUUUAGAAAUGCAACCCAUAAAGAAUUUUAAAAACAGCAGUAAUAAUAACAAUAUCCAAAUAUUGAAUUUGAAAUUUUUGGACAAUUAGAUCUAAAAGUUUAAGAAUACAUAUCUAAUUUUAUUUUUAUUUUGAAAUCCUCAUGAGGUGAUUCUAAAGUGUAUGUACCGAAUUUUGGAUCAAGAAACUCUUCUGUAGUAAGUCUUUUGACUGAGGAAGUAAAUAUAUAGUAUGCUCCUAGGGGGAGUAUGCUAUACACAUUCGAAAUGGAAUAUUGCUUAACAUGUAUAUGAGAAAGUGUAUUCUAAUUUCUAUUAUGCAAAUUGUGGCGGGUAGGAAUCGGGCUUGGAUCAAGUCGGUAGAGGCUAGGUUUUCAUCGCACAAUAUCUCAAAUUCCAUUCCUAGGCAACCUUGUCAAAAAAAAAAAUUAUAGCUGGUGCAUGAAUUAAAAUUGUUCUUAUAUGUUGAUAGAUAAAACAAUAAUAUAAAAUUUUUUUCAACUUGCAGCUUGGAGAUAUGGUAUUUUCAAGGGUUGGUGCUUAUCUCAGGACUCCUACCUGAUCCCGAAGUUUCCUUAGAUUCCAUUUCAGUUUGGUAAGUUCCUAUUUUUUUUUUUUUUUUUUUCUUUUAGUUGGCCACGACAUAAAGAGUUUUCCAAAAUAUUGUAUUUGAUAGGGAAAUUCGUUAAAAUGCAUCACAUUUUAUUCAUUUUUUAAUUAAAUUGGAUAAGAUACUAUCAAAAAUACACGUGAUCAUGAUUUAUGAGUUGGAAUAGUUUAAAAUGGGUAAAAUGUUUCAUAAUUAUUAAGUUGGGUAUAUUAUGAUAAGUUACCCUUAUUUAAUUGCUACAAAUUUAAUUUUUUUAUGACAAUUGUAUUUUUUUAUUUCAUUUUAAAUAUAAUUUCCUUUUGUGAGUUUCUCUACCUUGAUUUCCUGUUGUUCAUGUUUAACUCCUGUUUUUUCUAAUUUAAAAAUUGAUAGAGAUGUGAGGGACAAUUUGAAGGGCGUGAUGUUUUUAUUUUUUAUUUUUAAAAAAAAAAUUUGAUUUAAUAGGGGACUUGUUGUUGUUUAUGUUAAUUAUGUGCCUAGAGUGAAAAUCGUCGCCAUUUAUGACAUUUGCUCUUUUAAACGUGCCUCUUUUACAAACAAUCGCAUCCUAAACUAAACCAAAGCUUCACAAUUUAUCAACAAUCAUUGGAUUAACAAAAAGAAAAAAAAUUCAUGUUCCACUUCUAGUGAUUAUAUAAUAAAAUUAUAAAAUUAAUUAUCUUUGGUACAAAGAGUCACAAUUACUAUUAGUUGUUGGAUGUGAAAUUGGGUGAUUAAGCAUGUACAAUAGACCUAUCAAAUUCAACAAAAAAGUUUGAGUUGCGAUACAUACCCCAGACGAUUGAAAUUCAUAUAUGAUGGCCAAAAAGUGACUAUAACCUCGUUGAACCAAAAAUAAAUUAUAUUACAUAUGCAUGUUAGAUAACUUAUACACCAGUGUUUCAAUUAUGCAGUAUGAACUACCUAAACUGGGAUAUGCAGCUCAUGUUGGGCCUAAGUUAUGCAGCAAGGUAUGUAUGCAUUCAUUAGGGAAUCUCCCAUUAUUUGUGGUUUGCCCUUGUAUGAGUAUUAUAUAUGGAAAGAGUUUGCAUAAGGUUGCAACCUUAAAAUGUAGAAUUAAAAAUGCACUUCAAAAAAUCAUCGAAAAAAGUAGUUUUAAUGUUGAAAAGCCGUCUAAUUGAUCAUCUCAACAUCGAGAAGUACGAAUAUGAAAAAAAAUGAUUUUGAGUCCCAGAAGUAGUGUAUCUUGCAACACAUUAUCUAGACCGUCCAUUUUCAAUAUUUCCAUAUGUUUAUAGAUCUACUUGAUUUUAACCAUUUUAGGAGUUUAAAAUUUUAUAAUUAGAUAUGAAAAUAGAUUUUGAGAUAAUCCUAAUAAUUUUUUACACCAAAAUUACAUGCUAUGAUGAAAUUUAGAAGUGUACCUUAAUUGGAUUGUUUAAAGUCGCAACCUUAUGGAAACCAUACCCAUUAUAUAUAUAUAUAUAUAUAUAUAUAUAUGUAUAAAUUGUUUCAUGUUGGCCGGACCACAUUUCUACAUAUGUGGUCCAGGAAGUGUACAGCAUCCAUCUUAAAGAUGGAUGCAAUUAGGUGCUCCAUCUAUAAACAAGGAAACUAACGGCCCAAAUGUUUUCUUACUAGAAUUAUUAUUUUUAAUUUUAAAAAUUUAUUUAUUUUUUCAUAUUCAUGAUCUCCAUGUUAGAGAUUACAUAUCCUUAAAAAUUAAGUCUUAAAAUCCAUUUCAAAAGUAGAUUUAUUAAGGGGCCCGCAUUUCUACAUAUACGGGCUUGGCCACAUAGAAAUGGGUCAGGUGGACUCCGACCCAACCUUGUUAAGUCCAGGCUGGGCAGGAUCAAAACCUAGUUGCGUCUAGGUCAAGUGGACCUGGACUCUGUAGGGUCCAGGUCAAAUGGAUCCAAACCGAACCCCGCCUAUUUACCAGUUGGAAUGCACGCUCGUUUUGCUUUUCUUGGGGUGCAUGCCUUACUCUUUUAUAUAUAUAUAUAUAGGAUGCGCGCAUGUGUAUAGUUGAAAACUAAUAAAUUCUUUGCUGCUAUUAAACAUAAAUUUGCAGCAUCCGAGUCGGAAAUGAGCUCGGGGCACAGAAGCCGCGAACCACGAAAUUCUCAGUGGUGGUGGUUACAACUACAUGUUUUAUUAUAAGCUUGGUUUUGAGCAUUGCAGUUUUGUUGUUGAAGAGACAAUUGAGUUUAGCCUUCACUAGCACUGCUGAAGUGAUUGAGGCUGUUCAAGCCAUGACUCCUCUUCUUGCAUUAUCUGUUCUCCUUAAUGGAACACAACCCAUUCUCUCUGGUAUAUUACCAAACCCUUCAAGCUUGUAUAUGCAAAAAAAAUUACAUUCUGUUUCUACUGUUCAUGUUUUCUUCAGUUCUUUUUCUUUUGUUCUUUUUCAUAACAAAAAUGGACGACUAACAAAAGCCCAAUGGGACUUCGCUUCCUAGCCCAAGCAUUGGGCAUUUAUCAAGCAAAACCAAGCUCAAAAGCACCAACUAGAGAGGUCAAUGCCAAGGCCCAUAUGGGCUCAAUCCUCACUUGGCCCAUCAAUACUAUGGCCAAAAUGAGAAAACUGCAAUAGAACUUGGAGCAAAUUUUAGUCAAAUUAGCUCAAAUUACAUAUAAUUCAUGGAGAAUGUGUAUCAGUUUCUUUUCUUUUCUUUUUUCCUUUUCUUUUUUCCUUUUCAUGUUUGAUGCUUGGUUGAGGAGGUAACAUCUCCAAGAUUUAGUGCCAUUGAGAUACACCUAGAAAAGGUUUUAGCCAAGGGAGUGAAUAUAAAAUAGGAAAAGUAUCCAAUAAGACCGUUUAUUUUUUUAAGGAAGGAGGUCACAAUUGUGAUUGAUCAUUAAAUAUAAAAUUGGGUGGCUAAGGGUUUAUGCUUGGUCGGGUACAAAAAUCAAAAUAAAGUUUGUUGAGUUGUGUGAUACAACUCUAGCUAUCGGAUAUCACAUCCAAGGAUCGAAGGUAAUUAUGAUCUCCUUAUACUAAAAAUAAAUGAAAUUUUGCUUACCGUAAAGAGCAGCUGAAGAAUUAUAAAUUUGUUAAUGCAGGAGUUGCUAUUGGAUGUGGAUGGCAAGCCUUGGUGGCUUAUGUUAAUUUGGCAACUUAUUACAUAAUUGGCCUUCCCAUUGGAUGUGUUCUUGGCUUUAAGGCUGGACUAGAUGCAGCUGUAAGUUGGCUUACAAAAACAUAAAUACUUAAUGUGGUAGAUUAGAUAGUAAUUUCUCUUUUUUUUAUUUUAUUUUAAUAAAGUUAUUAAAAUACACCUCAUAGAUGAACUAUUUAAUGUUAAACCUGAUCUCAUUUGAUUUAAUUUCAAAAAGUCCAAAAUACACAUGAUGAUACAAUUUAGAAAAAAAAAAAAACACGUGAUAAUGAGUAGGAAUAGUUGAAAAUGGAUAGAAUGCUAAAUACUUGAUAAAUCCGACGUAUUUUGAUGAAUUCUACUUUUAUUUUUAUGUUAAUUUCUUAUUUUAUUCUUAAUUUAGUUACUUUUUAUUCUUAAUUCAAUUUGGACAGGGAAUUUGGUGGGGGAUGAUUAUUGGAGUGGGACUACAAACUGCAAUUCUUAUUGUUCUAACAGCUAGAACCAACUGGGACAAAGAGGUAAUUCUAGUAGUAAGCAUGAUUUCAAAGUUUUCCUCUGUUCUACUUGCUUUCAAUGAGAAAUCUGACCAACCAAUAAUUAACAUGAUCCCCCAUCCUUUCCUUCUCUCUCUCCAAUGGCCUCACAUUGUUUAAGUACACACUCUCUCUCUCUCUCAUAACUUCACAUUGUUAAAUUUACUCUCACUCUAUCUAAUAACCUCACUUUGUUUAUAUUCUCUCUCUCUCCUCCCCCCGGGGUCCCAAAACCAAAAAUAAUAAUAUCUCAUUGUUUAAAUGUACUCUCUCUCCUCCCCCGGGUCCCAAAACCAAAAAAAUAAUCUCACAUUGCUUAAAUGUACUCUCUCUCUCUCAACCUCACAUAGUUUAAAUAAAUUUACUCUCACAUUAUUUAAAUUUAGUCCCAGUCUCUCUAACAACCUCACUUUGUUUACAUUUACUCUCUCUCCUAACCUCACAUUAUUCAAAGGAUGUGGUUUGUAUAAGUUUGAGUUCCUAAAUCAUCAAAGUAAGGCACGCUUUUAAAUAGUGUGGAAAGAUAUUUUAAUACUGAAAAUGUUUGUGAUGGCCUGAAAUUUAUUUUUAUCUCUAAUUAUAAAUUUUAAAGUUUCAAAAAUAGUGUAGAUCGAGCAAAUCUACGAACACUUGAAAGUUUUGAAAAUUGACAGUCUAAUACUGCAUUACAAUAUGCAAUAUUUGCAAUACUUAAAAUCCUUUUUUUUUAUGUCUAUAUAUCUUGAGGUUGAGAUGAUCAAUUUAAGGAUUUUGAGCAUUGAAAAAGCCUCGUUUGAUAAACUUUUGAGGUACACCUUAAUUGAUUGUUUAGGGCCUCGCCCUUAUAUAUUUAAAUUUACUCUCUUUUUUUGGGGAAAUCGUUUAAAUUUACUAUCUCUUGUGCCAAUCUUGAAAAUAGGGUUCUCCUGAAAUUGGGUUAUCCUAAAACUUGUUUGUCCUUGGAUAGAGGUGUGUGUUGUUUAGAUAGCACCUGAUAAGAAAUAGGGAAUAUGCAUGUCCCUUGUCUGGAUUGUCAAGAAUAUGUGAAUCAAUAGAUAAUUCAGUUGCGGUUUUUAUAUUACUACUCUACAUUUAAUUUUAUACUUAUUAACUUCUCCUAUUGAUUCCAAACUUCAAUAUUAUUUAUUAAUUAAGAUGAAAUUUUUAUUUUUUUAUUCUUUUCUGUUGUAUAAUAUUAUAUAAAU